GGGGAGGGGGGGUGGAUAUAUGAUGUGUAUGAGGUCAUGAAAUUCUUUCACCAAGUUGGAAUAUAUGAUUAUAAAGAGUAGAGAGAUGAGACAAAAAGUUUUGAGUUCCCACUACCACUAUUCACUAAGAAACGAUAAGAGAUGUUGGUUUGCCAGCCUAUGCAUACUUCCCACCAAACUAAAAUCAACAAUAUCCCAACCAUAUGACAUUUGAUGAAACCAACUUUGAUUGCCUAUGAGAAAAAAGGGAAAGAAAAAUAAGCUAAUUUAAUUUUCAUCGUAUUUUCUAAAGAGAGGUUAAGAUAUAGAAUCUACAAUCAUCUGUAGAGUUAUGUUUGAAACUAUUUGGUAAUAAUCUUGAAGUUAUCUCUCAUAUGACAUUUCGUAGAAAGUUGUUGUCGUUGGGUGUUGAAAUAAACAGAACUCACUUAACUCUAGUUAUAGAGUGACUCUAGUUAAGUUUGUAAAUUGAAUACUAUUAAUAUUGGGUUGCCAGAUUACUUUUGUACUUUUACACAUUUUCUCUCCAUUUUCACUUUCGUCAAUAAAGCAAAGCUCCUGUCCUUCAUAGUGGAUGUAGGCUACUGUAGUCGAACAACUCUAAUUCUUGUGUCUACUCAUCUUCUCUCUACUUCUUAUCUUCUUUUUUAUUUGUACUUCAUUGUGUUUAUGAGGGAAGUUCUCUUGCUCAUCUUCUAUGAUUAGGUGGGUAUUUGAAUGUUCUUGUUCUACCAUUGAAGAAUAUAGCUUCCGCUCAUUUUCUACCCAAGUUAUUACUGUGGUAUCAGAGCUAUCCCAAAUACAAGAAACCAGUUCUUGAUCAUAACCAAGAAUGGCAGUGGUACGAAAUAGACGAAUUUGACGAAAUUUCUGAUUUUGGAGCGAUCUUGGGGCAACAAAAGGCAUCCAAAGCCAUCCAAGAUCCUGAAAAAUUACCAGCCACAAAUGGUGCCUGAAGAAAACGGAAAUUUUGAAACGACAACCCAUAGAACUAUCAUCAUGAAUCUGAGUGACAGUGUUCUUAGACAGGUAAUUGAGGAAAAAACAUCUUAUAUAAUCUGGAAUAAGUUGAAUGAUCUUUAUGUGUCAAAGGGCAUACCAAAUAAAAUGUAUCUUAGAGAGAAGUUCUUCACGUUUAAAAUGGAUCCUGAAAAAAGUUUGAACGAAAAUCUUGAUGAGUAUGAAAAGAUCACAAAAGAAUUCAAAUAAUGAGGAUAAAAGAUAGGUGAUGAAAAUGAGUCUUUUGUCCUUUUGAACUCACUUCCAGAUUCCUACAAAGAUGUUAAAGCAGCCUUGAAGUAUGGCAGAGAUAAGAUUUUAAUUGAUGGAAUCAUUUCAGCAUUAAAAGCAAAAGAAACAGAGUUGUUGCAAAUGAUCAAGAAAGAAUCUCAAAAUGCAGAAGGAAUUUUUUUGUUAAAGGUAAGUUAAAAACAAAAGAAAACAAGCAGCGAUUUGAUGACAAAAACAGGAAGCAAAAUGGACCUAUUGUCACAAAGAUGGCCAUUGGAGAAAAGAGUGCUACUUAAUAAAAGGAAAGAAAAACGCCAAUAAGAACAACAAACACAAACGACAAGACACCUCUGCAUCUCCAAAAAAAUUCCUUCUCAUAUUCUGAUCCACUGACCAUAACAGAGGAUCAAGAUACACGAUUAAAGAAAGAGGAUUGGGUCUUGGAUUCUGGUUAUUAAUGCCAAAUGACUCCUCACAAAGGUUGGUUCACUACAUAUCGUGAGUGGGAUGGCGGUAUGGUCUACAUGGGAAAUCAUGAUGGGUGCAAGAUUGUAGGAAUUGGAUCAAUCUCACUAAAGUUUAUAGAUGGUUCAAUAAAAUUCAUCCGAAAUGUCAGACAUGUUCCUAUGCUGAAAAGGAAUCACCUAUUUAUUGGUAUGUUUGAUGCAAUAGGGUGUUGGAACCUUUAAAGUAAUGAAGUAUUCCAAAGUAACUCCAGUUGGUGUUAGAAAAAAUGGACUCUUUGUCAUUAAAGAUGUUCAAAUGAUUAAAUCAGCCAUAUUAGCCAUAGAACACACUUUGACUGAAGGAGAAUUCUGGCAUAAAAGAGUGUCUCAAAUCAGUGAAAAGGGGCUAGAAGUGUUGUCAACACAAGGAAUUCUCUCAACAGGCAUAUCAAAGAAACUGAGUUUUUGUGAGCAUUGUGUUGUUGGAAAGACAAAAAAGACAGCUUCAAGAGCUCUCAACAAAGGGCAUCUUACAUUCUUGAAUAUGUACACUCUAAUCUUUGGGGGGACUAGCUCAAACUCUUCCCUUAAGAUGAUCAAGGUAUUUCUUAUCUCUUGUUGAUGAUCACUCAAGGAAAAGUUGGGUAUAUACAUUAAAAACCAAAGAUCAAGUGUAUAACAAAUUCAAAUAAUGGAAACCGUUGGUAGAAAAACCAACCAAUUAAAAAGUAAAAUGUCUAAGAAAAGAUAAUGGAUUAGAAUUUUGCAGAUAUGAGUUCAAUCAGCUUUGCAAAGAUGAGGAGAUUAAAAGCCACAGAACAAUUCGUUACACUCCUCAACAAAAUGGCGCAACUGAGAGGUUGAACUGUACCAUUAUGGAAAAGGUUAGAUGUCAAUUACGAGAUGUCACCUGAAAUAUUUUUGGUAGAGGUUGUGGCAUACACUGUCUAUAGUCUUAAUAGAUGUCCUCACACUUUAAUUUUUUUUCUAUCUUCAGAAGAAAAAUGGUCAGGAAAUUAAGCCUCCAAAACUAAAACAUCUUAAAGUUUUGAGGUGUGUAGGUUACGCGCAUCAAAAUCAAGGAAAGUUGAAGCCUAAAGCCAUGAGGUGUAUGUUUCUUGGGUUCACAUAGGGAGUAAAAGGAUAUGGACUUUGGCAUCCAAUUGAGAAAAGAUGCUUGAACAAUAGAGAUGUUAUUUUCAAAGAACAUGAGAUGUUUAUGUCACUAGAAGUUAAUUCUGAAUAGAAGUCUUAGGUUGAUACUACUCUGAUUGAGGUGAAGUCUUACCUAAUCUAAACUUUAGUAUUUCAAGUGUAGAAACUAUAAGUCUUAAUGUUGAGAGUCAACAAGAAGAAAUAGCAGAAGAUCAACCUGAUUUGAGGAACUAUUCCCUUGCAAGAGAUAGACGAAGGAGAGUCAUAACUCCCUCUACCAGGUGUGUAGAAGCUGAUUUUGUUUCUUUUGUCUUGAAUGCAAAAGAUUACAUAAAUGAAGAAGAGCCAUCAACCUUUGAUUAAGUAAUAAGCUGUCCUAAGUGUUUUUUUUCUUUGUGCUCUACAAUAAUUUUAUAGAUAAUUAAUUUAUUGUUUAAUUAUUUAAUAAAAGUUAUUUUCAUUAUUAUUCGAUUACAUGUUAUUGUAUAAUAAUAUCUAUGAGUAUGUUAUUAUAUUCUAAAUAUUUCUAAUCAAUUAUUAACGUGGGAACAAUAAUAAAUUUAAGAUAAGUAUAAGUUAUAAUUGAUAAUCAUAUGAUUAUAUACGUAGAUACAUAAAUUAUAAUCAUAUUUUCAUAUUACAUAAUAAGAAUUGGACUGACCGUUCUUGAGAUUAUUACAUGGACAUGUGUCAUAAAUAACUUCAAAUAAUUAAUUGUUUUAAUCCUUAGACUUGAGAUUAUCAUAGUGUCAAAUAUAAGAAUUAAUCUAUUCUGAUGCAAUCAAACGUUAUCUUUAACCAGAUAAUUAUAAAUGUUGUGCUCGAAUACGUUAUGAAUUAUGUAAUUGACAAUGAUUAAUCAAGAUGAAAUUUAUCCCUUUUGUUAUGGAGAAAUAACUUUGGACCCCUCGAUUAAGCGUGAUUGUGGCAAUGCAGGGUCAGGCUGUAAAUGAAUUAAUAAGGGUAUUAAUGUCAUUUAUUAUUUCAAUAUGCUUAUUGAUCGAGAAAGCAAUUGAAUUAGAUAAUGUGACUUUACCCAUGUCUUAUAUUUAAUUAUAGAUAUUGCGUGAUAAAAGGAUUAAAGAAAUAAGUAUAUUAGGUUAUGUUGGAACAUUGACUUAAUUUAAUAUGGGUAGCCAUAAUGUCUUGCUAUAUAUACCAAUUAUGACUUAUGGGCCAUAAAACGAGUUAUGAACCCAAUGCCAUAUUAAAUUAACCUAAUGGACCCCACACGAAAGAAUUGGGUCGAAUUUGUCUUUGGGCGGGGUAAGUAAUAAUUCCAAUUGAAGAACUGGAAGCUUAUUAAGAAACCCCAGGAAGCUUAUAAAUAAGACCUUAGGCGUCCUGUUUUAUAUCCAAGCAAAAGACAUAAUUUCGUUCUACAAAGAGAGAAUUGAGAAAGUUGAAAUUGUCACUUUGUGAGGUUCUAACAGACCUGAAUUCGAGAAGUCAAAUUUCCCGUUCGUGUAUGAAUAUUGUAAGAGAAUCCUUGUGAUUUUGCAGCGUUUUGGUGAUACGAAUUUAGAGUAUUGUCUUUAUCAGAACAAGACAAUUUGAAUUUGGAACAUCGACACACAAGUAUGUUUAUUCGUGAUUUAAUUGUUUGUGCAUGGUCUGUUUACGUUCUAAGGGUGGAAAUUUUUUUUUGUGUUGAUUCCGCUGCAUCUAGUCCUAGCUCGUUUUCUAACACUUAAGCUAGAUGGUGGGUAAGUACCAUAAAUGAAGAAAUAGACUCUUUGUCAAAGAAUGAAAAACUUGGGUUCUUGAACCCUUGCCUAAUGGAUACAAGCCAAUAGAUUCGAAAUGGGUUUGUAAGCUCAAAAAAGGAAUCCAAGGUAUUCAAGGACCUAGGUACAAGACAAGAUUAGUGGUUAAGGGUUACACUCAAAGGGAGGUUAGAUUACAAUGAGGUAUUCUCUCCCGUUGUCACAUCCCCUCCCGGAGCCCCCUCUCUCAUUUAUCCUAAAAAAUUGUGCAAGGGUUGGCAGACAUUGUCAUACUUGACAACAAUCUGCAACCAACUAAACUAAUUAACAUAGCAACCUAUGAACUAACAAUGCAUGUUCACUAAGACCAACAUAUAAGUUAAAUGCUUAAACAUUUCUAACGGGCAUUUAACACCGACAUACAAAGGAAACAUAAAUAUUACUAUCUGGGCUUGUGACUUCUAACUUAUGCUAAAUACAUACACAUGCUAACUAUAAGGAGAACCUCAUUUCACCAAUAGCAGAUAUAGAGUAGACUCGACACGACGACCAUUACCUACAAAGUGAGAAAACAUUUUGAAUGGAUGAGUUAAGAAACUUAAUGAGUGACUAUUUUAAUAAAACAUAUUUUUCUAAAUACUUAUGCUCAAAGAUUUAGCUCUUGGAAACAUGGAAGCAGUUAAAUAAUAUUACAUAAGCUUUAGCUUGUACAUUUCUCUAUAAACUAUUUAUAACAUAGCGUAGGUGAUGUCUCACCUCAUAAUUCUCAAACCAUAGGCACAGUUCUAAUCGUAACCUUCUCUCUUAGGCACAAUAUUUUGUACCUUCACUGAUGUACAAGAAACAUAGUUCUUAUUGCCUUGUAAGGUAGUCUUAAUUUCCUUCACAUCAGUAUGGAAAACAUGUGUGCACAACUAAAGUAAAGAGAGUAACCAUCAAGUAUAGAUUCAUUUAAAACAUACUCGAAAUCUUAGCUUGAACACAUAUUUGGUUGGAUUUCUGCUUUACUCAAAUCAUUUAAUAGCUUAAAAACAUGCUUGCUUUAAACACUUUAGAAUCUAGUUUUCAAAUCUCAUGUUUAUAUGACAUGCUUUGUAAUAGCUUAUAAAACACACUUUGUGAAACCCGCAUUCUGAAAUAAAAAGGUUUCAAGGAAGAAGACUGUGAAGAAGGAAGCUAAGUAUAAGUAUUACGCGUUCUAAGAAAAAAGAGUAUUAAAAUAACUAAAAUAAGAGAAUGACGCGUUGUGAGAAAGACUUGUGCGUUCUAGCUAAGCAACGUAAGUAAAGUUUGUAUUUGUAUUUUUUGUAAGGCAAGAAAAAAAGUUAUGAGAAUUAAGAGAACUUACUAAUCAUAAUUAUUUUAAUAACCUUACUUUUUCAUAUUAAUUAUUUAUACAAAACCAAACAAUUAAUAUCAUAUUCUACCAAAAAUUUAAAUUCUUAAAUUAAAUAUACACAUCCCCAUAUAUAUAUAUAUAUAUAACUAAUUAAUUCCAAUUCCACCUGAUCCAACUUUUCCUUUCAUGAUUCCAAAUAAACCCAAAUUCUCAAAUGUUUAAUUAACCAAAUAUUCUUCCAUAAAUCUCUUAUUUUAAAAUUUCAUAAAUUCAUUGCAUAAAUUAUCUUAACUCAACAAUUCAAUUUUAGCUCUAAUCCUACACCAAAAUAACUUAAGAUAAUUAAUAAAAAGGGAAUUUUUCAAAAUAGCGAAUUUUACAAAAUAUUUACAAUCUAUAGCAAAAUUUUUAAUUUAUGACUGAUAGUCAUUGAUUUGCUACAGUGACAGACUACCAUUGAUAGAAUCCAAAAUUUUGCUAUAAGUUGUAAAUAUUUUAAUUUAUUUUUCUAUUUUAAAAAAGGUAGUUGUAAUUGAUGGCUAUUUUAUGAAUAAUAAUUAAAGAUAUAUAAAUAUUUUUAAAAAAUUGUACAUAUAGAAAAACUAUCACCGAUAGACUUGUAUCGAUGAUAGACUCAUAUGGUUUAUCAGUGAUAGACUAUUUACAACAUGGUCUAUGGAUGAUAGACUUCUAUCAUUGGUAGAAUUUGACAAAUUUUGAUAGAUUUGUAAAAAAUUUAAAAUAUUGUUAUAUACUUAAUUACUUUGAAUCUAAUUGUUAAAUUUGCUUAAUUACUUGUCUAAUUGUUAAAUUUGCAACUAUCCCUUCUAAAAAGGUUCCCAAUAAAAAAGUUCUUAAAAUUUGGGAUGCUACAUUUCUUUUCCCAAUAAAUAUAUUCUAAUAUACAAUUAUCAAUUUGGGAUGCUACAUUUCUUUUGCCAUUAAUUAUAUUUCAAUGUCUAUUUUUCACUUAGGAAUUAUAUAACCAAAACUAUACAAAUAAUAACAUUCUCCCCCAAAUUCCAAAAUCUUUAAUUAAAUAUAGGGACCGGUACAUCUGUGUAUGUGUAUGUGUAUAUAUAUAUAAUUAAUCAAACACAUUACACCAAAUAAAUUCAUUAACUUUCAAUCUCAAUUAACCGAAGACCAUAGUAAUCUAAUCAUAAAUUAUUCAAGAUAAUUAAGUAACAAAAUUUUCUUAAAUUUUUGGGGUGUUACAAUCUUCUCUUGUUAAAAAACUUUGGUCCUCGAACUAUUUCAGGUGUUGUGCUCCUACGUGAUCUUGUUUCCAUGUAGUCUCCUUGACUUGAUAAUUCUACCUUAAAAUUUAAAGUGCAACUCCCAUGUUGGGCAACACCUCACUUCUCCUACCAAAAUACUACACUUCUUAAAUAGUUUUCUUUCCUUCCGUUUACACUUGUUUUGGAUGAAACCACUAAAUCCAAGGAAAAGUUUUCUUCACUUGUCCCAGUAAAACUUAAUUCUCAUAACCCUUCAAAAAUUACAUUUGAAAACUACAUUGCAUUUUAAAACUAAUUUCACCGCAUUAGUAAGAUAUUCUCCACCAUUUAACAUUCUCUAGAACUCAUUAGUUCUUUUUUUUUUUUUUUCCUUGAUCAAGUCCAAUCUCAUGUCCAACCAUUGGAUUCCUUUAAUGAUAUCAACUUAGGUAGUUAUUCUAAAAUAGUUUGUUAUUUCAUCACUCACACUUCAAACCAAUAUCUUAUUCUUUAUGAUACUCUCAAAAUAGUUUCUCGACCUCUAAUCAAGACAACUAUGCACUAAAGUUUUGUUUGUCGCUUCCUCAAUAUCUCAAUCCUAAACACAAUUUAAUGUGCUUGAUAUAUUUGAACUUAAGAAUGUAUUUAGUUCUCUUUAAAACCACCAGCAUAAUACAUUCCUUAUAUUUCCAGUCACAAAAGAGUUCAUAUUAUUUCCAUUUUUUAUCGGGCAAGGUCAUGCAUAUAAACAUAAACUUCUAUCAUAAAACAUAUAUGGAGAGUGACGUAGAACUAUAUUAGCCAUGGAGACAAAAACCGACGACUUACUGAUGAAAAACAACAUAUGUGUAGUGGAAUUACAGAUCAAUUUCACUCUAAUUACAUCUAAACUAAUUUAGAAAUUAACAUGCUUUAACUAUCCUAAUUAAAAAGAAAAAUGAAAACUUACCUUUGUAGCUUCUCGUUCCUCGUAAUCUUUUCAUGAACUCGAACUGGAGACCACCACUAGUGUUGAUUUGCUAUUCUUCAAACUUAGAACUGGAUUAUGUACUCGUUAAGUGAAGGAAACUGAGAGCACAAGAUGGAAAUUGGAAGGUGGAACUUAGGGUUGAGAUUUCAGACGAGAGAAACAUUUUUUUAAAAGAUAAUUUUGUAAGUCAAAAUUAGAUAAAAUGAGUUUUUUUUUUCUAAUAUGAAAAGGUACCUAUUUAUAACCUAAUUACAUGAAAAAAUGCAUGUAAUUAGUUCAUAAAAUCCAAAAACUUGACAUUUCAUUAACCAUUAGUGAAACUUAGUGGGUUAGGUGUUUACAUCUUACAUAGCCACCUAUCCCACUAAAUUGUAGUUGGCGAUAUACACUGGUCAAGUGAUGACUAUAGCUCAGCUAAUGCAAUAAGAGUUAUACGCUAAGCUUUUUAUCAAGAACUUAUCACAUGCCCUAAACUACAAAUAACACAUUGACAUGUGAAUAGUAAAGAUGUGAUGAAUUGGAAAGGUAUAAACACACAAUGUAUUAAAGAAUAUAGGCCUUAGGGCACUGACAAUACAUUGUAAUGAAAUACAAAAAUGAAGAAUUUAUAAAUGAACAUUACAAGUUAGGGGAAAUGGAAAGUAAAAUAUUCUUCACUCAGAUCUUAGGCUUCCACUUAUUGACUGACCAAAUAAGAAGAAAUAUUUUUAUAGGCGGUGGAAAGACUAUUCCUUUCCAACUCUUUAUGGGGUUUGAUCCAUUCAAGCCCGAUGUUGUGAAUGGUGUAGAAGAAGGCUUUUUAUAGGCAACUUUUAGUAGGAAACUUCUAUCUCUCUAAACAUGUCAGUGUCGAAUGCAGUCUUUGGGAAAUCACAUCAACUCCAACUACCAUUCUUGUGUUUUAGUGAAUCUUCCUUGCAUGUUGAUAUGGAUCUCAUCUAAAAACUUUACUUGCAAGACAAGGUCUUCUCGCAAAGCCUUUGCACGAGUUCCUCUACGAUUCACUAGUUUCUUAUUUUAUUCAUAAUCUUGAGUUAAGACAUUGAAAAUAGAGUGAAACAGGCAUAGAGACUUACGUAGAGUGUAAUUUUGAGUAUUUAUGAAUUUACAACAUAAGCUAUGCGUUUUGACACACUUACUACGCGUUUUGGUCUCAUUAUUCUAUCUAAAAGGCUAUAAUAACUUGUAUUUCUACAAGUUAUCAUACUCUCAAAUUUAGAAUAAUACUUGUCCUCAAGGAUCACUUCGUAUCAUGCUUGCCCUCUCUUCAAACACUCAUCUUCCUCCUUACAUUUCUAAACUUCUCAAAACGCGAGUAAUUUUUAUUUGUUAUUUAGAGUCUACUCUCAUCACAUACUUCUCAAUAUGAAAAGAUUUCUAAGUUCAAAAUGCGGCAAACUUAAUACUCAAAAUAUCCUUGUUCAUUCUCCAUAAAAAUCUCAUUUUCAAAUUGUAGAAAUGGAUAAAAUUUCUGAAGAAUUUUGAAUCCUUUUAUUUGCCAAAGAAUGCUUUUUAUUUACUUAUUUACUUGGUCCUUGGCCUUGAGUGGAAAAUCAUAAGCACUCUAUCAAUUUGUUCCUCUCCUCAACUAUAACUCUUAUUACUCAACUCUCAAACUUUUUACUUUUGAAGCUUUACUUCUUAUUUUUGGCGAGAGAAGAUAAUACUGGAGUUGUUAUUUCAAUUGAAUAAAAGAAUGAUUUUUUUUUAAAAAAAAAUUUACGCUUUUGGUUUUGCUUUAACUUUUGUUAAAACACCUUAUUUUAAAACGCCUCACAGAGUUUCUAAAAAGUUUCAAAAGCUUUAGCUCGGACUUCGCACACCCCAAAUUUAGAGUGUAGUAAUGUCCUCAUGGCUAAAAAUGAAUGAUAAUAUUAUUCACAGAAAAAUCUUACAAAAGAAGUUUGAGGUAAAACUUGCCCGCUUAACAAGUUGUAGAAAUGUUUCCUAAGUAAAUUUCCUUAACAAGUUAAACACCUAGAUAACAAAUGAAACUUUAUUUGACAUGGUUAAUUUCAUUGAAGUUAUUAUUGAAACGCAAAGAAAAAUUAAAGUGUCAAGCUUGCGACAAGAAGGAUUAAACGCAUAAGAAUUGCAUAAAAGAUUGUACUUGUAUAUAAAAUGACAAAUGAAUUAGAAAUACAAAUUAAAUAAGUAAUAAUUAAAAGGGAUAGUUGCAAAUUUAGCAAUUAAAUUCAAAAUAAUUAAGUAUAUAACAACAUUUUAAAAAAAAUUGCAAAUAUAGCAAAAUUUGUCAAAUUCUAUCAAUGAUAAAGUCUAUCACUGAUAGACCAUGUUGUAAAAUUUGGUCUAUCACCGAUAGAUCAUACGAGUCUAUCAAUGAUACAAGUCUAUCAGCGAUAGUUUUGUUAUAUUUGCAAUUUUUUUUAAAUGUUGCUAUAUCCUUAAUUAUUAUUCCUCAAAUGGUCAUCCAUUAUAAUUACCUUAAUUAAAAUUACAAAAAAAGAAAUAUAAAAUACAGAACAUCCCCACUUUUAAGGUUGUUGCUACGGUGGUGGUGAAGAAGGUUGACGAAGUAAACCCCAAACCCUAUUGGACUUAAACUUUUACAAGAAUUAAAAAUGAUUAAUUUUAAUUGAAGUUAAGACAAGCAAGUAGGCUUGAGAAAUGUCAUGAUAAAUGUGUUAUGAUGGAUAAAAGAAAGGAAGGUUAAAUGCUUAUGCUUCAAAAUCUAAAGUGAAGAAGAGAAAAUUUGGCUUUAGGUUAGGCAAAAUAACCUCUUUACAGGUUACCUAGGAGUUUAGGACAAGUAUAGGCGGAUCUUUGAGUUGUUAGGUUAUUUGGGUGAGGAUGUGUGCUAGGCGGCAAGUUGGUUGAUUGUUGUAUGUAGCCGAGAAGGAUGAAGAAAACCUCUAAAAUGUGCUUGGCGGUUGGGCUAGGCGAGAAGAAGGCCAUUAGGGUGUCUAUGGAGGUUAGUUAGGUGUUAGGACUUGGCGAAGAGGACACACGAGAAGAAAAUUGAGGUUAGCUUAGGCGUUUCGAACUUGCCUUUCGACAUUAGGCAUUUUGAUUAAGCGAGGUGAUGGAGAGGUAGACUCGGUUAAGUGGAUUCAAGGUGUCCUUGCUUAACUUAAAUUUCGGCCAAUGGAGGUGUCAAUAAAGUUUCAUGUAGGCUUCAAUAUAAAUAGGUCACUUCAGAUGAGCAUUUCUUCCAAACUACUCGUGUGUGUUAGCUAAGAUUAAUCUCAAAAGAUUCUAAAUUGAGUCUACUUUAUAUAUUGGAGUUGUCAGUUUAAUCUGAAUAAGAGAGGGUUGAGUUUGUAUUAAAGAAAGUUAGGAAGGUCAAAUUUCAGGUGAUUCUGAGUAAGAUUAACUUCAAGAGGGUUAUAGAACUUGUUUCAUGGAGUUUUCCUUUCACAAAUUUGAGAUAAGAAAGUUAAGACUAUUUAGAGAAACUUUAUAGAAAAAAGUAUUUUCAUUUGAGUUUUUUAUUUUAAGUUAUUAAGCUCUAACAUUGAAGUAGUGUUUUAGUUGAAAAUGAAUUUCUGGACCGUGGAGGUUAGUGUCCAAACCUAAGGGGUUAGUGUGGCAUGUUGGCAUGCUCUUUGGAUUGGUGUUGGAUGGACAAACACGCAAGGAUGCUUGCAUCAAGGCAAGCUUGCGCACAACAAGCUCAUACAUAUGAACAAAGGUCAUGCGAGAUGGCCAAACGUGAUGCGUGAGGCAUGCACGAGAAGCACAACCACUUUACCAUAAUCAUACUUUGUUUAAAAUAAAAUAUUAUUUACCCCGCAUAAAUUCGCCGUGGGCUGUGACUAUAACUACAUUUCACGUUGAUUAUUUUGUAAAUUUGGGGCAGAAGGAAGUAAAUUUAACUACUUAACUAAAUUGAUAUUUUAAAAACUUCGAGGGCUACUUUUGUAAUUUAGCCGAGAAUGCCACGAGGCGGUUUGAUCUUCAAGCUACGGUGAUCGGUGGCGGUUGAUGUCACCGCACCGGCGGUGCUCCGACAGACACGUAUAUAUACCAAACUCACAGUUUCCGCCAUUAUUGCAAGUCUGCAACACACAACAAAGCCUUUCGUCUUCUCCAAGCUUCUCAACUUCUCUUUAUACACAGGAAUAAACCUUCAGCUUCAACACUAGGCAAAGGCUCAAAGCCUUCCUUUCUCUCCAAGUAAACCUUCUGCUCUUACUUUCAUAUUUCAUCUAACUUCCCUUUAGUGAUUCCCCAAUCUACAUCUGAAUUUUCCAGCUCUCUUUUGGUUCUCUCUUAUUUCGACAUGAGUAGAAACGACUGUUUCACGACGCAGCUGAUUGAUGCUAAUGGCGACUUCAAUGCCGCUGGCCUUGAAGAUUUCAUCCGGAAGAUUAAGUUGGCUGAGUGUGGGCUUUCCUAUGCGGUGGUCUCUAUCAUGGGGCCUCAGAGUAGUGGUAUGUUUGUGGAGAUUGCACUCUUUCAAACUAUUCUAUCGUUGCAUUUUGAUCUAUUUAUAUCUAUCUGUAUUCUUUUUUAUAGAAAAAGUUGUAAUUUAUCAUUUUCAUUUUACAUUGUUUUACUAGCUAGCUUGCUUGCAAAAUUUUGGUCCUAAUAUUGCAAUUUGGUGUGGUGUUGGUCUUUGUUGGAAUAUAGAAAUGGCAAUGUUUAAGAAAUGAGAAUAACGUUACAUCAGAUUUCACAUUGAAGGUCCUUUGUUAAAUGCUAAAGGCGAGAUAAUCCUUUGGUCCAACGGGAUCUCCUCCCUCAUGUGGAGGCUUUUGAUUGAAAGAAACUCUAGAAUCUUUAGUGAUCAAGAAAUUAAUAGUGAUUAAUUUUCCUUUUUUAUUCUUUUCAUAUUAUUAAUAUGUUAGUUACUUUUUUGGUUACGCAAAAUAUUAGUUAGCAUGAAAAAGAACGGGAAAAAAUGUCACUAAUGCUAUCUUGAGAUGAAGAUGGCUUAAAAUCACAAUGUUGUGCGUAUUAUUUUAUUAUUUGUCUCUUUUUGUUUUUAGGCGUUGAGGAAGUCAGUACAUGUUUCAGAGUGAUUUUAAAUUCGUUUAAAAUCACUUUAAAACACGCUUUUACUUGCUCAAAGUUAAUUUUAAUACCAUGAAAAAUGCAUUUAAAAGUGUAAAAGUAAACAUUGAGUUGAUUUGGAGAGAUUAAAAGUGUUCUAGAGUGAUUUUAAACACGACAAAAUUGUUUAACUGUUUCAAAAUUGCUUCCAGACAUCCCAUAGUGUUGUUGUCUAGUCAAUUGGGAAUGCCCAAGAGCUCUUUUUCUGUCUCUGUGUCUCUACCAUUGUCUUUUCAUGGGAAUGAAGGUCCCUAGAUUACAUAUUCUGUAACCUUAAAUUCUCUCCUCAUUUUGUGCAUCCAAUGUGCCCAACUUGCUGCACUAAUACUUUGUUCUCCUCCUCCCUCUUGUAUGGUCAGGGAAGAGCACAUUACUGAAUCAUCUUUUCCACACAAAUUUUAGAGAGAUGGAUGCGUACAAGGGAAGGUUCUUUCCUCUACCCUGUGUUUUCUCUUGACACAUACCCACAGGAACCAAUUCCGAAUCAUAUAGUUGGGCUAUGAAGGCAUAUAGAAUUUAUACCGAUUUCUAAUUGUUAUUAUAUAGUUAAGUCCCUUUGCACAUAUGAGACUAAGCUACUAAAAUGUAAUUAGGGUUCAAACUACCAAGGGCAUUUGGGUGGCGAAGUGUGUUGCCACUGAGCCCUGCACAAUUGCCAUGGACUUGGAGGGCACUGAUGGAAGAGAAAGAGGAGAGGUAAAAGUGUGGUUUUUGGCUUUCUAUUAUUAUAUUUUUUACUCCUAUUUCAACUUGUAAAUUCCUACAAGGGUUUGUACAUGCAAUAUGCAUUGCCGUGAAUGGUUUAAUUUGAAAUGAAAGAACCAGUGAACAUUUGAAGAAGUGUUAUUAUUGUUUUGUUAAGAUUUUAUUCAAUCAUGAUAUAAUAUUUGUGUAUACUCAAUUCUUUCUACUUUCAGGAUGAUACUACUUUUGAAAAACAGAGUGCGUUGUUUGCUUUGGCAGUCUCUGAUAUUGUUUUGAUAAAUAUGUAAGUUUUGGCAUUAAGGACGGUUUGCUUCUUUGAAUACUAAUAUUGUUAUCACAAUCUUGUCUAUUAUUACUAUCUUUUUCAUUAAUGCAUUUUGUUUAUAAACAAAAGAAUGAGACAUCAAAGAAAAAAGGAAAAACGACUUCAAGGAUGGCCAUUCCUUUAUGAAAAUAAAAAGUAAAAAUUAAAAAGCAUGUUUAACUACCAAGUAGAGCCUGAGGCACGACAAAUUAGCUCCAUAUUAGAAGAUUCUAGUAAGAAGCAUGACACAGAUAUGGGACAAGACAUAGACAGAGACACGUUGGGAUACGCUGUUUUACAUAAAAUAUACAUGUGUAUAAUGAUAUAUUAAUUAUUCUUUAUAGAUAAAACAUGUAAAUUUAGCAUAAAAACAAAAUAUGCUUCACUAAAAACUUGCAAAGUUUAGUCAAUUAAUGAGAUUUGAAAUCUUAAAAGAUAUAAAAAGAUUUAGUUGCCUGUUACUAGGGCAUGAAGAUGUCAUUCUAAUACUUUAGGAUUGAUGAAUCUUUAAGGAUUUAAUCUAUAUGAGAAUCUCAAUUUUGUCCCCCUGAUUUUUAGUUAAAUAUUUUUCAGAGUCUAUCUAAGCCAUACCGUUGUGUCAGAGCCGUGUUGGAAAUUAGAAAAAAUCUCUUUUGGAGACAUUUUUUAGCAUGUCCAAAGUUUGUCUGAACGUAUUUGUGUUCAACACAGAUGCUUUGCCAAAAACAAGGUGUAUGUUGAUUGUUUGAUGAGCAUUUGAAGGAGAAAAAUAGGAUCCUAACAUAUCUUUUAACAAUAGAAAAUUACAUGGCUUCUUCAAUAGCUGCUUGUGAGUCAUAAGUGGGUUAUCAUGUUAUAGCAUAGGCAGGUAGCUUACUCUUUCCAAUUAACCACAAGGUAGCAUUUUUCUGGAUGAUGGACUAGAGUCAAUGAGUCAUUAACCAUUAGGUUACUCUGUUCUGUGGCAGAGGUUACAAACAAAAAACUAUAGAUAUCUUUCUAUUAUUUAGUUGGAUGUAUGAAUAUGCCAAUUAUCCCAGCUACCAAAUUUUCUUUUUGAGUUUUAUUUCCUGAUUACAUGGAGAUGAAUGAUUUUGACGCCCAAAGUGGUUUUUCAUAUUUCCUGUAAACCAUGUACAGAUGGUGCCAUGAUAUUGGUCGAGAGCAUGCAGCAAACAGGCCUCUUCUGAAGACAGUCUUUGAGGUAAUAUCUCUACAGGUUUAUUUUUGUUUGACGUAAAGCUUCUGCAAAUAACAAUUUGUUGCAUUCACUGCUAAUUGUAGGUCAUGAUGCGGUUGUUCAGCCCUCGUAAAACAACUCUACUGUUUGUCAUACGUGACAAGACCAAGGUUGGUUGUUGACUUAACAAGACAAAUGUUUUGUAUUUCAAAAUCUCACAGUUCAGCGUUGUUGAAUGUUCUUCCUGAUAAGUACUUGGAUAUCCAUGCAGACCCCAUUUCGAAAUUUGGAAUCUAUUUUAAGGGAAGAUAUUCAGAAGGUAUUCGUUUCUUUGGUGCUUUGGUGCAGUGUAAAAACUUCAAGCAUUAAUUCUGUCUCUGGAGAAUUAAAAUAAACAUGUUUUGGAGAUUAGUCCACUCUUUCAAAAUGUUGGUGAAGAAUUCACGAUGCUGAAGAAAGAUGAAAAUUGUUAAGCAACUGGUAGUUUUUUGCUGAAAAUGUUCUGGAAAUGGUCUCAUAAUAGUUAAUGCAUACAUAAUUGCCAAGUCUGUUCAUUGUUGUGUAUAAACAGCUAGAGCAAGAAAACUUAUUUGCUUACAUUCAAUAUGUCAACCAAAUGGUUCUGUUCAGAAAAUUAAAGUGUUUCAACUUUUGGGGCUGAGCAUCGUGAAAUUAUUUGAAGUCUCUAUUUUAAAGUGGUGGAGGUGUUUCUAUCUGUAUGAUGAUGUACCCUUCUGGUAAAGCUAUUUAAGGGCAUUCACUUCAAGCAUCCUAUUUUCAAUUAUUUUCUUUCCUCUUCUGGGGCAGAUAUGGAAAGCUGUUCAUAAACCAGAUUCUCUCAAGAAUACUCCCCUCAGUGAAUUUUUUAAUGUAAGUUUAUUCUUAUGGUUGCCAUUGUAUAUCUUUAUUUCAACGUUUAUUUGGAGGCAUUUGCCUUAUCAUGUAUGCCUAAUUUAAAUAUUUUAACUUGAAGGUGGAAAUCUUUGCUUUGUCAAGCUACGAAGAGAAAGAAAGGAAGUUUAAAGAAGAGGUAGCACUUUUACAAGCUACCGUGGCUGGCUGUGCACUAAUUUAAGGACUUUUCCAGCAUCUAGUAUAUAUAUUUUUAAUUAGAAAUAACAUGUGGGUGUUUUGCACUGCGUGGCAACUUCUAAGGAUUUCCUUCCCUAUAUGUUAAUCAGUAAUUCAGAAUCUGUGCUACUGAUAUCUGUUUCCACUUUCCAGUGCUGUAACCAUUUUUUUCUGAUAUCUACUGUUAAAUUCAGCUGCUCGUGUUAUAUGAUCUGUCUUAUGUAGGUUGCUCAACUGAGGCAAUGGUUUUUUCGCUCUAUUUCUCCUGGAGGAUUAGCAGGUGAUCGACGAGGUGUUAUCCCUGCUUCAGGAUUUUCUUUCAGUGCGCAGCAAAUAUGGAAAGUAAUAAAGGAAAACAAGGACCUGAACCUCCCUGCCCACAAGGUUUGUUUAUAUUUUUUUUUUCUUUGUACUCUCUUCCUCAUGAUGAGAUAAUUCAUUUGUAGAGUGCAUGAUUGAUAUAUAAAGAGUUGUUUAUAUUUAUUGUACUUGUCUCCUUUCAUGUUUCCCAUUGUUUUUGCCAUGAGAACAUGACAUAGUAGAUGCCAAAACUUGACUUGAACUGUGCUGAAAUCGUUCCUCUUAGAUAAAAAUUUGAUUCAAAUUGAGAAAAAAUAUGCAAGUUAAAGUUAAAGGUCCUCAAAACAUAUCCACCGAAGUCGAUGAAGAUUAAGAACAAUGUAUCAAAGGUGAUAAAUGUCUUCCUUCAUGUGUUUCAGACUCACAUUUUUUUGUUUGUAAAUAAAAGGUAAUUUGAUAGGUGGGAACUAAGUGAAAUGAUUUAAUCUUUGCUCAAUCAUAUUAUAGUUUGAAGGGGAUGAUUCAGGCUUCCUGCUGAUAACAAGAUCAAGACUUGAUAGAUCAGGCUCUAGUAUCUUUAAGAUGACGAGGAAUGAGAUUCUAACAAUCAAUAGAAAAGAACAAAAGAAACUGGAUGGGCUUCCAUCAUGUCAAUUUCUAUGUUAUCAUAACUCCGUGUUGCAUUUUAUUUCUCCCAGGGAAAAUUCAUUUCCAGCUUCUGAUAUGAGAUUAAAUAAUAUUAUCAGGUAAUGGUUGCCAGUGUGCGGUGUGAAGAGAUCGCCAAUGAGAAGUUUAGUCGCUUAACCACUGAUGAGGUCUGUGAUAUUUUUGAUCCCCUUCUUUGUGUCCUUUUACGUUGGAAUUUUUCUAGAUUGGCUUUGACAACUUGAAUUGGCUUUUACGCAGAGGUGGCUGACAUUAGAAGCAGAAGUAAAAAAGGGUCCUGUGCAGGGCUUUGGGAAAAAGCUGAGCUCGAUCUUAGAAUUCUAUUUCAAUGAGUAUGUUUUCUCCGGAUUUAGGAUCAUUUAUCACUUAAUUAAAGCACUUGGCUGGAAUGUUUUCUUGACCUAUUCUAUUAAGGAAUAUAAGUUAAAUUUUAGAUCUACUCACUUCAGAAUCUGGUACUUCCUAUCCAUAUCAUAUCCACGGCUGCUGAAAAUGCUGAGAAGAAACAAUAGUAGUAGUAUAGUGCAGUGUUUUUCUUCAUUGGGAAUUAAAAAUAGACAGCCGAUAAUACACGAUAAUCUUGUUUGUGUUCACUUAGGUUCUUAAGAGGAGGAUCUGUGUAGAGUUUCUUGAGUGGUGCAAGUUUGUUUUUUAAAUAGUCUUUUGUUCAAUAAUAUAGCCAUAUUGCAACAUUCAUUCGAUCUAUUGGGACAAAGAACACUGUUCUAAGUUUGAUGUUUUGCUAUUACUGUGCAUUUCCUCAUCUCGCUUAUGGUUUUUCCCAAAUCUGAAAAUUUAUGCAUGAACAUGUGUGGGUUAAUUUUGUUAACUUUUUUUUCUUUCUUUCCCAUAGAUACGAUACUGAGGCAGAAUUUUUUGAUGAAGAAGUGAAAAAUGCUAAACGAAACCAAAUGGUGUCAAGAGUAUUGGAGGUUAGUCUGGAUAAUUUUCUUUUAUUGCAAAGGUUAACCUCAGCCUUCUAUUCCCAGCGGUGAAAUGAGAGAAAGGUUUAUAGUUAAUUGCAUUUUAGAUAUUCACUGUGUACAUAUUAUUUCUGAUUACUUCCUUCAAAACUGACCUAGAGCAGCUCUUUAUAUUGUCAUUGUGUAGUUCUGUAUAAUGUAUUGCAAAAUUUUAAGAUAAUCUAUUUGAACCUUUUGAGUCUUAUUUUUCAUGCUUGGGACAUUAACUUUACUCUUCAACAUCUUGUCAGUCAUUAUCUACUUGAAAAGUUUGCCAAUUAUUGAAGUAGGUGUCAGAAAAACCACAAAGUUGACAUAAUUAGAAUAGAGUCCUUCAAAAGAUUGAUCUAGUGAUAUGUCCCUUGCAGUUUGUUUAUGUUUCCUUAAUUUAGUAAAGGUUUGAAUUUAUUAUCUCGAACAUAGUUUGGAACUGUGAUGAGAAUUGCUUUCUUCACAUAGAAAGACUCUCGUUUGUCUUUUCUUUCAGUUUGAAGGAUUAUUAUCUGAUUCCUGCUGAAAUGCAAUUUGCAGUUUGUGUAUCCUUCCUAUGUUGUCAUGUUGGGGCAUCUGCGAUCUAAAGCCUCUGAGGAUUUCAAAAAAAGAUUUGAACGGUCUUUGAAUGAUGGAGAAGGAUUUGCAUCAACUGUUCGCAAGUGCACCAAAAUUUGCAUGCUUGAGUUUGACCAAGGAUCUGCAGGUGAAAUAGCAUAUUAAUUUAUUCUUUUACAAAUUGCCAUACUUUUUAAAAGUAUGCCUGUGAUGGUUGGUUUGAUUGAGAGUUUCGGGAGAUUGAAGUCAAAGUAAUUGUGUACUAUGAGUAGAAUUUAUAAUCUCAUAUGCUUGUUUCCAUUAGUUAACCAAUCUCUUGCUCGUAGAUGCUGCUGUGCAGCAAGCGAAUUGGGACCCUUCAAAAUUCCGGGAGAAACUAUGCCAGGAUAUUGACAGACAUGCAUUAUCUAUUCAAAAUGAAAAGCUUUCAGGAAUGAUAGCCAGCUACGAGGUAAGUUCUGACUUGAUAGAAUUUGCAUGUUUUCUCUUCCCCCUUCCACUGCCUUCUAUACAUUUUGCUAUGUUAAAUAAAUAUAUGCAUUCUAAUUGAUAGAAACGGCUUACUGAAGCACUGAGUCAACCCGUAAGAUCUCUACUUGAAGCUAGCGGGAAGGACGCCUGGGCUUCAAUAAGAAAGAUUCUUCAACAUGAGACUGAGAUUACCGUAUCAAAGUUUUCAGCUGAUAUUGCUGGCUUUGAGUUGGAUAAAGACAAAGUUGACAACAUGGUCCAAAAUCUAAGGAACCAUAGUAGAAAUGUGGUGGAAAACAGAGCAAGAGAAGAAGCAAACAACGUCCUAAUGCACAUGAAAGAUAGGUAGAAAGUGGCAUAUUUGAUUUGGCCCUUAUAUCUCUCUUUGUAUUAGUUACUCAUUUCCCUGGUUUCUUUCUUCAGGUUUUCAACCAUCUUUUAUCAUGACAACGAUUCAUUGCCUAGGACCUGGACUGGGGAGGAAGAUAUUAAAACAAUUACUAAAGACGCCCGUGCAGCAGUGAGUUAAUAGGAUCUCAAUGAUUAAUCAUAACUCCAUUUUACUCUGCCUGUUAAACCUUAAAAAAACAAACUGUUACUGUUUUGCAGUCCUUGAAAAUUUUAUCCGUUUUGGCUGCUAUACGUUUAGACGAGAAACCAGAUACGAUUGAAAAUAUUCUCACAUCAUCUUUGAUGAACGAAGGUGUUGCAACUUGUGGAUCUUCUUCUGAUCCUCUUGCCUCAAGUACAUGGGAGAAGGUAUGUAGGAAUGAGCGUUGUUGUCUUGCUUGCCCAAUACUAGCACUAUGAAACUAUCUACUCACUAAAAAAUGCUCAUGAAUUAGGUUUUGGAAAAGGAUACUCUGAUUACACCUGUGCAAUGCAAGUCCUUGUGGAGGCAGUUCAAAGCAGAGACCGAAUAUAUGGUUACACAAGCUAUAACUGCACAGGUCAAAUUUUUCAUGCAGUUUUCUGCGAUUGCUAUACCUAUAAGUUGAUUUUAAUGUGCUUACUUUUUUUCCCCAUGUGUUGGUGUGGUAUUCAAUACAUAUCAAAUAACUUAAUCUUCUCACUAGUCCAAAUCUUUAUUUGUUAUGAAAAACAUCUCGAAGGCAAGGUCUAAUUCUUAAUGAUUUCAAGAAGUAUGAGGAUGAUUUCUUGUGUAAAAGAUCUCGUUGCAAUAAAGAAUUGCAUUUUGAAGUUUCUUUAAGAAUUUGCAUUACGAGAAAUUGUGACUUCAACAAUUUCCUAAUCUCAACUAUCCGUUUUUUCUUUCAUAUAGAAACAAAAAAGCUUACUUUUUUAUUUUAUUCUAUUUUAUUUCAUUCUUCUUCUUCUUGUAUCUAUAAGCUUAAAUUAGACUUUUUUUUGCUUGUUAUUAAAUCUUACACGGCUGCUAUUUUCAGGAGGCUUAUAAGAGGAGAAACAACUGGCUGCCUCCUCCAUGGGCAAUUCUGGCAAUGUUUAUUCUCGGCUUCAAUGAAAUUAUGCUUCUAUUAAGGUAUGAGCAGGAUUCUAUAAUCCUGCAUAGAAAUUUGUGUUAUUUUAAUUUCUCAUUUCCCAGUCUACAAAUCGUGCUUAUUUUUCCUUUUCGUCUUUAAUAAUAUUAAUUGCAACAGGAAUCCACACUAUCUCGUCAUUAUAUUUGUGCUAUAUCUACUCUCGAAGGCUCUAUGGAUUCAAACGGACAUAGGGAGAGCAUUCCAAAGUGGGCCAGUAAGUUUUUAUCAUCUUACAACAUAGUAGGCACAAGUAAGGAUUAAAAUAUCCUUCCAAUGUCAAUAUAUCUAUCAAUAAUAUCUCUAAAUUGGAUAAAUAAUAUCUCUAAAUUGGAGAGUACGACAUCAUAGAACAUUAAAAAGAUCAACUAAUCUCAAGAGCAAGACAUACAACAAUAACAAGAUCUAUAACUUAAUUUGGAGUUUUACAGCGUAGGCACAAGCAAGGAUUAAAAUAUUUUAAGCUAACCCAACCCAACCCUUAUAAUAUGGGUCGGGUAGUCCGGGUUAUUCAGGUUCAAUAUUCUUACAUCCCUAAAAGCUUCAAUGAAAAAUUAUACUACCAAGACAUUGAUUAGAAAAAGAGAAAUAGAGGCCAUCUCUCGAUCAUGGAGGAGAGAUACUGCAUCCAGCAUGCCAUCCCCUCUCUAAGUGUUGUGCUUCAAACAUUAAUGGCAAAUGAAGGUUCAUUUGUUACCUUCGUUGAUCCUUUCGAGUUGCCGUUGUUACCUUCGUUUGCCAUGGAGAAAAACGAAUCUUGAGACGGAUUUGAAGGGAUUGAAACUAAAUUUUAAUGGGAAACGUGGGUGAAAAUUUCUCUGAAAUACCAUUUUAUAAUAUAUAAGGUAAAAAAACUGCUCAAAUUAUUGAUAAUUUGGGAGAGAAGCCCAACAUAAAUACACAACGAAGAUAUAACAUAAAUACUGAAUCAAUAGUUACACGUGUAACCAAUCACAGCAAACUAAGAGUAUUUGUUAUACCUAAUACUUUUAUAUAUUUCUUUUUCUUACUCUGGAAAAUAGUAUGAGUUAUUGUUUAUUGUUUGCUGUUGAUAUUUGUUGUGAAAUUAUAUGGUCUAACCUUUUUACAAUAAUGAACGAUUUUCAUAAGCAUCAUCUCUUAAGUAUGAACAUGCUUUCGGACUUGGUUUGAAAUUGUGGCGAAAAGUGGUGCUUUUACCGGUUUGUGGUUAUGAUUUUUCUAAUUUUUGCUUCUGCUUCGUACAUUUUUGGGCAGUUUGUAGGACUUCUUUCCAUUUUAUCUCAGUUGCUUCCAUCUGUUAUGAACCUUCUUAAAAGACUUACUGAAGAAGCUCAUGUAUAUACAAAUCCUGAACCAACAAUGCCUGCAAACUCUCAUAGUUUCAGGAGUCAGACACUUCAAUCAAAUCCUGAUACUAAUACAAUUCUGGACCCAUCAGCUGCAACCAAUGUCGAGUCGGCGGAAUCAUCGAAUGUUGACUCAUGCUUUGACGACUAAAUAGAAUACUUGAGCCCAAAUGUGGUGCACCAGCAGACCAAAGCCUCCAAGAAGCUGAUUGGUUCUAAUGAUUGUUCAUCUGUCAUAUUUGAGUUUCACAGUGCAAUCGUCAUGGGCCGGAUGUAAGUAUUGAUGUAUAUGGGUAUAAGAACGGUUUUGGAAUGGAAAGUGUUGUAAAGCUGGAACUGGUGAACGUUAUAAAACAGCAUGAUCUUAGAACAUGCAAUGUAAUACGCAUAUUAUGUCCUGUACAAAUUAUCUAUGUAUACACAAAUGACUCAGGGUAUGGAUCUCAUAAUUGGUGUACAUAUACGAUGUUUUAAGCCAGAUCUAUCCACAUGUCUACUAGGUAUGUUGUUCGUAUACAUCUACUUUAGAAUUUAACUACGAAAUUAUCAACUUUAAUGAUAUAUUGGUAUGUGGUUCUAGAAAGGGGCCUAGUGAAUUUUGCAAAAUAUUUGGCACAUUGAAAAGCCCAAUUUUAUAGUUUGACCAAUGUGUAUCACAACCCUAUCAAUUGUAAAUGACACUACACUUCAGGACUCAUCAGCAAUACAGUAAGAAGAUGACACUAAAUAUAGAAAAGGAGUUCAUUACCAGAACAUAAUAUCUCAAUAAUAUGUUUAGAUAUAUAUAUUUAUAUACGAGUUUCUUAAAAAGUAUUACACUAUCAUUAGGAAAGAUGAUCCAAAUCUUUCCAACUUGAACAAAAGAAAACAUUACCUGACUGCUGGAGCUAUGCUCAGGUCGGCAUAUAGGAAAGUAAGUAGUAUAUGAGUAGGAAAUCAAGAUAGCAAAUGGGCGAAGAAGCAGGUGAAAGCCAAUUUGACAAAAUAGGGUAGAAAAAAGAAAGAAAAAAUGGCAAAACUAACUAAAUCUCCAUGGAAAUGGGAUUUUAGGAACAUAAUAAUAGUAUGAUAAUAUCACCACAUUGAUUCCUCCAUGGCUUGGUCCACAACCAUAUCCAUCUCAAACAUGGUCCUAGAUUGUGAGCCCAUGAGCCUUGAUGAGGGUGACCCACUAUUACUUGGGCUUGUUGGGCUUAGCCCAUAGUUUGAAAAUGACGCUGUCUGACGCACCCUGAGGUGCACCACCUCGGCUUGAGCUAAAGCCAGUUGAGUUUGGAGGGCGUCUAUUUGAUGCUGUAGAGACGAUAUUGCUCCAACACACCCAUACACCGGGUCGCGCACUCGAGCAUUUGCUUCGUACACCAAACUGCUCACUGCAUCUCCUCGUUGAUGAAUUGGCAGCUCCUGCAAUGUUAACACCAACGUCAAUUUUUUUUCUCAAACAAAAAUCUAUAUAUAAAGAAGAAAAAGGUAAACAUUGCAAAGGUAAACAAGGAAACUAAAAUUUAGAACAAAAACUGAGUGGUUAACAUCGUAAUAAUAACAUAUUCUACUUCAAUGGGGAUUCUAAAAAAGUUAAAAUGUUAGUGGACUAUUAUUGUUAUUUAGUUAAUAAAAGAUGGUACGGUAGUUUCUAAUUUGGUUUCUAUUUGUUGGUUGUCACUCCACAAACAAGCAAAAGGGGAGGGUGGCUACCCACAGUUAACCCUUAAAGUCUACAUAAUAACAUUUUUUUCUCUUCUUUUUUUUGUCUUAAUUAAAUAUAUGUUUUUUAAUUUUAAUAACAUGACAUUUAUUAAUUAAAAUAAAUAAUAACUUCACGUGAUGUACAAGCCAAAUGGGGAGAAAAGGUUCAAAGCUAAAACCUAAAACCUAAAAGGGCAUGUGAUUUUAGAUAACUUAAUUAAAAUUUUAGAUUUGAAAAUUAAUUAAUUAAUCUAUCAAUUUUAUCCUUUACUCACUUAACUUGACCUUAAAUUUAUUAAUUAACUAUAUUUUCUUCUUAAUAGCUUUUAUCCAAUCAUUUAUUCAUUUUAUAAUUCUUUUGAAUUAUCAUUUACAAAUAUAGUAAAAUGUCAUUGUUUAUUAGUUAUAAGUAUUGAUAGAUCUUAGUAGACUUCUAUCAUUUAUCUUUUAUAGAUAUAGUCGUCCUAUCAGAGUUUAUUGUUGUCUAUCAUUGAUAAUAGAUAGUCACAUUUUCUUAUAUUAUUUGUAAAUAUUUUGACCAGUCUUACUCUGGAAUAUAACACACAAAACCCAUUUGAGAUGUUAACAAGUUUUUUUAAAAAAGGUUUAUAAUGUAAAACAAUAUGAUAUUAUAAGUAUAGUUCUUGUUUUAAUUAUGUAUAAAGUACAAAUUUGCCAUCAAUUAGGUGUUUAGAGUAUUGUUUUUGUAUUCUUUCUUAAAGGGUUUAAAGUAAUAUUUAAAGUUAUAGGGUAUGAUUUGUAAUUACGUUGUACAAUAGGGUACUUUUGUAAUUUCGUAAUUUUGUUGUUUGGUUUAUGUACAUGAUGAAUUUGACUUGAGAACUCUCUUUUUUCAAGGAGUUGUUUGAAUUCUUUUUUAUUUCUGUUUCCUUUAAACAAAAGAGAAAAGAAAAGAAAAGAAAAUUUGAUGCUUUUCUUAAAUGAAAAGACACACCUUUUUGUAUUUUCCACAAUAUUAUUUUAUUAAUUAUUAACGGUCGCAAUGAAAGGUUAAAACCGUUAAAGUUGAUAGCAAUAAGACACCAUUUUCUUUCUUUUGAAAUUAUUAAUUAAAAAAACAAUUCAUUUAUUUGCUUUUUUAAAAAUGUAAUUUAGUCCGUACAAAUUAAGACAGAAAAUUUGAAUUCGAGAACUCUUAUCCUAAAGUAUGUGCAUAUCACGUAUGUCAAUUGAACUGAAUUCUUGUUGGCUAAAAGAAGUAGGAGAAUUGUUAUGGAUAACAAAAAUAUUAAAAUUAUUUACGAGAUAUUACAAAAGUCUUGAAUGAACUAUAGAAAAUUUGAUGAAUUUUAUUUCAAUAUUUUACCACUUUUAAAAUUCUUCAAUAAAAUAAUUAAAUUAUAUACUUAGUAGGAACAUGGGUUUCUUUGUAUUUAUUUGAAACUUUUUAAAUUUUCCAUCUUUCACAUUUUGAAUUAUAUUAUUAGUUUUAUUUAUUUUGGUGAUAGUUUCAUUUGUGUGUAUGGGUAUUAGCAUGUGAUGGUAACUUAACCAAUAUUUGUCAACAUUUUCGAAUAUGACUAAUUCCUUUCAAGCUUAACCAACUUCUUAGAGUUUAAUAUCAUAAUUUUUUUAAAAAAACUUCUAUUUUCUUACGUCAAAACAAAAAGUUAAUAUAGACUUCACUCAAUAGUAUCGAUAUCACCUUCCUCCUUAGGAGUAAAAGAUUUAAUCUUCAAUCUUUACUUAAAAAUGAAAGAUAAAAAUAGUAAAAUAAUUUAGUUGUAAGAGUAAAUAAAUAAAUAUAUAUACACAUUCACUUUUGAUAAUUAACCUUUUGACAUCUUGUCUAAAAACGGCAGCCAAAACAGUGAUGAAAUUUGAAAUAGUUUUGGUCAAAGAUUGUAGCAAAUUUUUCCUAACCCACUUUCAUACCACUGCCCAACAAAAACCCAAAGAAAAAAGAGAGAGAGAGAGCCAAAAUUAAAAACAAAAACCUAUAUAAUUUGAUUUUCUUUUCUAAUUUGACAUUAUACAAGUCCAGUUAACACUAUAUAACUCAAGAUUAAUUAGAAAAAGUCUUUUAAAUCUUCAUACUUUUGGCACUUUAUUUUUAGUAAAACUGUUGAAAAAAUAGUAAAAUUAAUACACAAUAUAUGUUCAUAUCUAAAGUUAGUUUAUAAUAAGUAAUUUCUUUGACAUCAAACAAAGGAAGAACGUAAGUUUGUUAGAUUACAAUUAGACAGGAGGAUAUUAGAUAAUAAAGAUAGUGAUUAAGAUAGGUUAAUUACUUUUAGUUAUUAGGAAAGAGGGAGAGAGAGACCUGAAGCAUUUUGUUAACAUUGCUAGCGCCGAAAACCUUAUGAACGUUGGCGAACUUAUGAGGUUGGUCGGCGGGAAAGUAUGGAGCAAACACACAUUCUUCCCCACACCGUCUUCUGAGAAGCUUGCAUGCUGCGCAUGGGGCUGCUCCUCCCCCUUGUUUCCUCCCAUUUUCGGUCUUCAUAUCGUCCGCCUCUAGUCUUAUGACACACGUAUCCCCCCCCUCCUCCUUUGUUAUUCUCUGCCACUCUCCUCUGCCUCUUGGAGUUUGGACACUGACCCCUCUCACUCAUCUCCCUCUCUAUUUAUAUAAACUAAUAACCAACCACUCCCCAAAGACCUACAUCAGAAAAGAAAAAGAAGAACAUGAUCUUUUCAACGGACCCCACCUCUCUUUUUUCAGAAAAGAAAAACAUUAAAAGGAAGAUAUAUAGUUUGUUUUAAUUUGUAAGAGUACAUAAAAAACGAAUUUAGAGGUAUUUUGUUUUUUGGAAGUGAAAUAGUGGAUUAAUGUGAAAAGAGAGGAAAGAAAAGAAGUUGGCGUGAGGGAUCCUAUUUAAGUGAUUAGAUUAGAUUAGAUUAGAUUGAAUUACUUUAUAAGCUAAGGCACCCACACCCACACACACAUUCAUUUUGUUUGUUUUUUUUCUUUCUUUUUCUUUCUACAUUAACAUUAUGAUGUAUUUGCAUGCGGUGUGAAUUACUUUACUUUACUUACUUUACUUUUUAAUUUCUAUUAUUAUUAUUAUCAUUAUUUCACAUUAUAUCUUAUUUAUAUAAUUAUACCAAAUAGUAAUGAAAUAACCCAUCGUUUUGUGACCAUAUUUUGAUAAAUAGGUAAUCCCUCCAAUGAGUGUGAGUGUGACACUUGACAUCAAAACAUCUUUCUUCUUCUUUUUUUUUAAUUAAAAAUAUUACAUGAGGUUCCAGCCUCCAAUACUUAUGUUUAAUAUUCCAUAAUUAAAAAAAAAUCAUAUUUAUUAACUUUACGCUCCAAAAAAUACGUAAAACACUUUUUUCGGAAGCGUUUGAAACAAAGUAUAAAUUAUUAUAGUUGAAUUACAAAAGUACAUCGAACGCUAAUAUAUUAAAAUAUCGGUGUUAUAUUCUAAAUGUGAAUUUAAAAAAGUGUUAAUAUAUUAUUGAUACACCAAUAUUAAUAUAUGAAGUUGUACUUAAAAAUGAUUACUGAUUAAUGUUAGUAUACUAAAAUACAUUAGAUUUUGAGGGAGGGUUAAUAAACUACCAAUACACUACUACUACCACCAAUACACACCGCUACUGCUACUACUAUUACUAACAACUCAACAAUACAUUACUACUGCUGUGACUACUUAGUACUACUAGGAGUUAUAUAUAUAUUAUAUAUAGUUUGUAUUCUUACUAUGGUACCUUUAGCUCUUUGUUAACAGAACCAUAAAUAAGCAUUGUAAAUUAGAAGUACGAUAUGACCAAAGCAUAUUUUUCAAAGGAAUUAGUCAUAUAUCACACUAAAGGCAUUAUCAUGUCUCCUAUUUCAAAAUAAGAAGUUGAAAAUAAGCAUCACUAAAGUACAUAUUGCAUGUUUUACAUCUGCCUUUAAACUAUAAUAAUAUAUAUGUAUGAGAAUGUUUCUUUUAUGUUCUUUCUUUCUUUUUCUUUUUCUUUUUCUUUCUUUUUCUUUUUUUUUUUAAUGUAUGAAGAAGCUUCAAACAUUUGAUUGAUGUUAUAUAUUUUAAUGAGUUAAAGUUUUAAGUCUAAAUUAGAUAGAAUGGGUAGACUAAGCUGACUACUACACAGAGGCAAUAAAAAUGUAGGGUAAAAAAGUUGAUGAUCCUAAGCCCAAAGAUGUGGAAAAAUUAGUGUAUCAAGUUUGAUUUGAAAAACAAAUAAUUAUUGUAACUUCCACGUUCAAUUGGGUUUUAUUUUGCAAAAAGCAUUUAAAAGUAUUCGUGUAGUGCAUUUAAUUAACUGUAUAACGUGAGCAUCCAUGCCCAUAAACGACACAAGAGCUUUCAACAAUUACAACAUCUAUACUUUUCUUUGAGACCGAUGGCUUAAACUCAAAUCCUCACAUUUUUCUACUACAAAAAACGACCCCUUUUAUAUUUUGUUAAAUUUCUUUAGAAAUUUAAAUUUUAAUUCAAUAAUUUAUUUUGUAGAUUCAUCAAAUUUAAUUUUGUGCUACAUUUUGAUUGAAAUUGGAGAGUUUAGGGGAUUUUUACAAUGCCUUUAAAUUUUCUUUUAAAUUAGUGAGUAAAUUCAAUGUAGAACUGAAUGAAGGAUAAAAAAUAGUUGGUUUUAAUCAAAGUCUCAAGUUCUUUAGGACGAAGGAUUGAUAUAUGUUAAGAUCUAGAAUAAAAUUUUGCUUUUUUGAAUAUAAAAUAGAAAAUACAUUUCUUUUUGUUCUUACCGUUAAAAUUCUAUUAACUCUUUAACAGAACGAUGAGAUGACUUUCAUUAUUUGAAUGACUAAAUUCUAAAUUUAUCAUAUUAAUUAAAUUGAUAAAUAGUCAAAAAAAUCUUAAUAAGCUAUUCUAUAAUCUUUUGUGCUAACACGAAAACAUAAUCAACACAUUUGAAUCAAAUAAACGAAAAAAAAACUUAAUUUUGUUUUUUUUUUCUUUUCUUCAAAACUCAACACUCUCAUGUCCCCUCCCACGCUCCCACACUGUUUAUUUUUAUUUUUUUUGAGUCUAAAAUGUAGGUUUAAUUUGGCUCAAAUACCACCUAAGACUCAUAUUUUCAAUUAAUUGGAUCCAAUGGUUAAGUUCAUGGACCUACUAAGUUCUAGCUCUUAAAGCUCGCUUAUGAGAACUCUCAAUAAAUAGAGGAAUGAAGAGAUUGAACAUGUAAGUAUAUCCCAAAAUUUUAAGGUAAUUUUAUUUAAUUAUCAUUAAUUAAUUGAGUUAUAUUGUGGGUUUUAAAGAGUAAAGUGAGUUAGGGUGUUGAGGUAAUUCAAUUUAACAAUUAAGAAGAUUAGGAUAUUUAACUUAAAGUUUGUUUUCUCGACGAAGUAACACCCUGGUCGCCUUGUAAGAGAAAUUUCAAUGUAAUUGGAAGGAAAAUUGGAAACAAAAAUUUUGGACUUGGAUAGAUUACGAGAACUUCAUUGAUGUUUCAAAAUACAUUCCUUCGAUACAAAACCAUUACACAUGUACCUUGAACCUUACUAGGAUUUUUAUUGCCUCUAGGUACUAUAUAUGCCAUGUGAUCAGUAGACAGUGGCCACUACCCAUAUGAUCAAGGAGGCACGUAGGCGAUCAAUGGUGCAAGUUCAACGCAGGAAGUCCUUUGCUAACUGGGGGGAGAGAGACAAAACAAAAUAUUUGAAAGGUUAGACUAAAACGUUUAGUGAGUGAGGUCUUUUCUAGGUCUACUUAAAUAAAUCGAGUGGUCAGUUAUUGCCAAGUAUAGUGGUAGUGAAUAUGGUAAGUCAAUUAUUGCAUUUUCAAUGUAGACACUCAUUCAAACGUCAAGGUCUUUAAUAUCACGAUUUGUCAACACUUAUAAUUUUCCCAAGACUACUUCGUUCAUUAUUCAUUGUAAUUCAUAUCGCAAUGUAUGCCUCCUCCAUACCACAUAUCUAUCUUGCAGAGUCAUUUCGCUUAUUCAAUUACGUUUUUGUACCCUUUCCUCGACUCAAGCGUUUGCCACACUCUUUUGCCAAGUUACAGCUAUGUGGAGAAUCUCAAUACACUUAGCAAUUACCAUCAAUUCCACUAUGAUAAUGUGUCUUUCAAUGUCAAAUCACACAACAAGCAAAAGACAUCUCAUACCAGAUCACACAGCAAGUAUAAAACAUCCAAAACAUCCUAUUACCCGACGCGCUAUUUGCAUUGGGAGUUGUUUUAGGUAUAUAUAUAUUGAAUUUCUUGUUUCAAUCGUGCACUAUUCUGUUCGAUUCCAAUUUGAUUUAAUUUGAAUAAAAUUUACAACCAAAUUCAUAAUAUGGUCGUCGACGCCAUAAUUCUACAAGUCCACACCUACAAUGACACAAAAUUAAGUUUACAUAUAUAUAUAUAUAUAUAUAUAUAUAUAUAUUACUGAUAAUGCAAAAAUACGUACUGAAAGUGCACGACUCAUGAUCCUCUCUAUGUGCUCAAGUCAUUUCUCCAAUCAUCUUCUUCAUUUGUUUCAUUUCUUGGGUCUGCAACUCGAACAUCCUUCUCUGCUCUUCAAUCAUGUGUUUAGCUUCUUCAAGCUCGAGUCUUUGCUAUUCUAUCAGGAUUAAAUUAACAGGUUCGACCUCCAUAGACUACAAACAUGUGAUCGAAGAACUGCUAGCACAACUUUUGCGGGACAUGGGCCUAGGUCCCCAACCAAGACCUUUUGAGUACCUGACUGUCUACCCAAAACGGUCUCGUAAGUAUCGUCCUCAGAGAGUGGCUGAGAACCCUUUUGUGGUGGGCUGGGAUUGAAGUUCCAGCAUUUGACUUUGCAACAAAUUACAUUUUAUGUAAUUAAGUUAUGAAGGCAUAAGUAUAAGUGCAAAAUAAGAUAAAAUCAAGUUUGCACUUACAUGCACAUCUGUAGCUGCCUGCAAAAUGAAUUGGCCACUCCGAGUGUGCAUUUCUCGAACAACUUCAGACGCUCGACUGACAUACCUCGUUUUUUUUUAGAGGUCGUGUUGUUGUUAUAGAAAUGACAUCAACCUACUACUAUGAUUGUAAGGCUGCUUUUGCAUGGAAAUAUUUGUUAAAAUUAUGCACACAUACUGAAAAAUCAAAUGAAAUAACAUACCAUUGCAAUAUGUAGAUCAUCUCACUUGAAAUGCACGACUCAUAUAGUGAUCGCAUAGGAAGUGUCAAUUUUCUAAACGUCCCACCAAUAUGUGUGAUGGAUUGGUACGUGCUUGUUCAGAGUCAUACUUUUUAAAAAUUUUGUGACAGUCGCCCUUGAACUCGAUGAAAUAUGUAAGAAACUGGACCAUCAACCUUGGUUUCAUAUGGUAGUGAACGAUAAGGUGUACCAUUAUGCUAAAUAAGGCAGGAGGAAAUAUUCUUUCCAAUUUGCAAAGUAUAACUAUAAUAUAUGUCUGCAAUCUGUCCAAGUCACUUACUCGUAUCAUUUUGGCGCACAAAUCAAGAAAAAAGCUACAGAGUUCAGUAACAACGGUAUACACAUUUUUCAGUAAGAAAGCUCGAACACCAAUAGGUAGAAGUUGAUGUAGCAAAACAUGACAAUCGUGCAUUUUGAGACAUGAUAUUUUCUUUCUUUUUCAUUCACACGUCGUGAAAUAUUAUAAACGAAUCCAUUAAGAAACUUCACUGAUUUCAGGUACUUACAAAACUCAACUCGCUCGCUGCUAGUUAAUGUGUAACUCGCAUAUGGCUUAACCAAUCUAUUACUAACUUCUAUCAGGUGUAAAUCCUUUAUAAUUUUCAAAUCUUGUAGGUCCAAUCGUGCAUUAGUGGUGUCCUUGGUUUUUUCUUCAAUAUUCAACUGCGUACCAACUAAGUUUUCACAAACGUUCUUUUCAAUAUGCAUUACAUCUAGUUUGUGACGUAAUAAUAAUCUCGAACACUAAGGAAGUUCAAAGAAAAUGCUUCGCUUAGUCCAAUUAAGAGCUCUCUUUUUUUUUUCUUUUCUUUUAAUGCAGAAUGUUUACUCAUAGUUGGAAACUCCAACGGAUCUAGUUGUUUCAUUAUUUCAUGCCCAGUCAUUACUACUAGAGGAGUCUUACACUCUACAUUUCCAUCAUGUGGCCUACUUCUCCACCAAACAUGGUUUUUAGAAAGAUAGCGUCAAUGUCCCAUGAAAGAUAUUUUGUCUCUUAUCCGGAAGGAUGAUCUAUCUCCCAUACACAUGGGACAUGUCUAGAUACCCUUUUGUACUCCACCCUGAUAAGGCACCGUACGUCAAAAAUUUAUUUAUCCUCCACAACAACAUUGCGUACAAUUGAAAGAAAUUAUCGAUAAGAGAAUCAUACAUACGUAGUCCAAAGGUUCACAUAACUCUUUAAGUUCCUCAAUCAAUGGUCGGAAGUAAACAUCAAUUUCCCUACCAAGAGAUCUUGAACCGGGUAUGAGCAAUGCCAUGAAACAAGUUGACUCUUUAAUGCAUUCUCAGGGUGGAAAAUUUUAAGGAAUUAACACCACAUGCCACAUACUGUACAAUUUACUCGUAUGACCAAACAUAUUAAAACUAUCUGAAGCUAACCCCAAACGAACGUUCCAUGCAUCUGAAACAAAAUCAGAAAAUUCAGGAUCAAAAUGUUUCCAUCCAUCCGCAUCAGCUGCCAUCUUUUUUAAUAUGUUUGUCAUGAUGUCAUCUCAUGUCAGAGGAUCCUUCUUGCAAUACAAAUAAACAUUGUAAUCUCGGUAUCAAAGAAAAGUGGCGCAAUACUUAUGCAUAAAUUUUUCUCUUUGUUAGGACUAACCUUAUAUUGAGACUCACCACAAGUUGGACAAAAUGAUAAACUCUCAAACUUCUUCCAAUACAGGACACAAUUGUACUUACAAGCAUGAAUAGCUUCAUGUCCUAGGCCCAAGUCUCGCAAUUUUUGUUCGGCUUCAUAGAAUGAACUAGGGACAUUUGUACCACAUAUUGGAAACACAAAUUUUAUUAAAUCUAACAUCAUGUCGAAUGACUUGAUACUCCAACCGUUUAGAACCUUUACAUGCAUCAUCUUAACAAAAAAAUUCAUGGAAGAAUAUUCAGAACAACUGGGGUAUAGCUCACUACGAGCUUCAUUCAAUAAGUCCUGAAAUAUGUUUGUUGUCUCUUCUUCUAUAUCUACCACAAUAUUAAACGAUAUCUCAUUCUCCAAAACCUUCCUCUAUUUUCUAUUCAUAUUCAAUCCAAGCUUGUAAAUCAUUGAGCAUACCAAACAUUUAAUCUUCUUCAUUAAAAGGGUUACUACUAGUUCCUACAUGAAAAUGGUUACUACUGGUUCCUUCAUCAAAAGUGUUACUACUAGUUCUUUCAUCAAAUCUUUCGAUACCUCUGUGCAAGCUCACUGGCUCUCCAUGAUACACUCAUUUUGUAUAAGAGGGGGAUAUUUCAAUGGUUAAUAGAUGUCGCUCCAUACCCUCUAAUGAGUUCCAAUUUGAGUUCAUACAUCUCUUACAUGGACACCUUAGCUUAUUCAUCCGUAAGUAUCAACGUGAAACUUGACAAUAUCUAAGAAUUCGGGUACACCCUCUCGAUACUUAACCGAUAACUUAUUCCUAACUUUCAUCCAACCCUUAUCCAUCGUUAAAGACCUAAAACAUAAAUAUGUUUGAUCAUUAGUCCUAUACUCCUCCUAUCAAACCCUAAACUUAAUUACUCAAUGAAUAAGUUAUGCCCAAUCCUCCCAAAUUUUUCACUGAAGCUGAGUUUAAAUUACAAAGGCUACCAUAAUUGUAGGAUAACCAGAACAAACUACUAGCUAACAAAUUUAAAACUAAGUUUGUGCUAAAAAGAAGAGGCUAUCAUAGCUACAGGAUAGCCAUAAGACAUCAACAACAAAUUCCUAAUAGUUCUAACAAACAAAACUAUUAAAAAAUAAACAACAAUCAAGUUUGAGCUAAAGUCCAUCAUAACUGCAGGAUAGCAAAAAGCAAAUGAUCAAUUCAAUACAACCCCUUCCCUUUCAAGCUUUCAAUACAAACCCUCUCGCCCCCCUCAAGUUUCAAUUCAUCAACCCCCCUCUCCCCCCUCAAAAUUCCACUUCAACCCCUCCCCCCUCCCUCUUUAAUUCUCAAUUCAACCCCUCAAAACUUCAAUUCACUUGUCCCAACGCUGUAGUGCCCGAUGUCGACAAUGGUGAAGGCACGCCCGACAUCAAAAGGACAACAUUGGGAUAAAGGCAAUCUAUUGACGUAGAAAUUUCUACGUCGGAAGAAGCCCCUUUUUCCGAUGUCCCUUUCUUUGACACCUUUGUGUACGUUGGGAGAACUUCGAUUCGUUGUAGUGACUUUUACCAAUGAUAGCCACUAAAGGGUAGAGUAACUUUCAAUUUAAGAAAUAUGUUAUCAAUUGUUAUAGUUAGUUGUUAUCUCUGAUAGCUUCUAUCAGUGAUAACUUUCAAUUUAAUAAAUGUGAUGUCAGUUGUUAUCACUAAUAUCUUUUAUUAGCGAUGUUGCUAUUAAUUGAUAUUCCUAAUAACUAUUAUAAGUAAUUUUUCUAUAUUUCUAACGUAAAAUGAUAUCACUAACAUUAUCUAUCAAUAAUAGCAACUCUAAAUCAUAUCAUUAAAAUGAUAUUUUUUUUUAUAAGUGAUAUCUCCUUUGUAAUCAAUUUUGAAUUGGUAUGGUUUAAUUAGGCUAUCAAUCGAUAUUUUUUAUAGCUAUUAUCAAUGAUGUUCUUCUAUUGCUAUCAAUUUUAAAAUCUAUUAGUGAUAGCAACAGAAGGAUAUCAAUGAUAGCAUCUAAUAGUAGUAUCCCUAAUAGGCUACUGUAUAUCACUGAUAUCAAUGUAAUGUUACUGUAAAGUGAUAUUGUGGUUGUUUUUUCUUAGCAUAAAUUAACAAAGAAAUAGAUCAAAUUAGCAUGCUAUCAAUAAUAGCUUUGAAUUAGUAAGAGCAUAUUAUCCAUAUGAUAGCUUCUAUCGCUAAUAGUAUAAAUGAAAUUGAUAUAAUUAUAACUUUUGUUGAAAUAAAUUAUGAAUUUGAGGUGAUACUAUCAAGAUUUAUAUUAUUUAAAAAUUUAGUUCAAGUUAUCAGUGAUAAAUUCAUGAAAAACAUAUUGAGAUAUUAAACAUGAUGUCAUUGAUAGAAGUCGUCAUUGAGUGUAAGAUAUUAGUGAUAGAAGUCAUCAGUAACAACAUAAGAGGAAGGAAACUGCAGGGCAAAAUUGGUAUUUUAACAAAUUACCAUAUGACUGGUAAAAAAUUGUCAUUUUUGCAAAUAUUGUUCCCUUGUGAUAUAGAUUAUAUUUAUUUUAUAAUUUGUGCUAUAUGAUGCAAACUUCGUAUUUAAAAUUAGAAAAAGAAAUAGUUUGAGAGAGAAUAUGUUUUGUUAGAAACUAUUAUUCUAAUUUAAAAUGUCAUAUAAUUAUUUAAAAUAAAAGUAUAAAGUUAUUUUAAAGUCUUUCUAAACACAUUUUUAAAAGUUUAGAGACUUAAAAGGGUACGUUUCAAAAAUUCAAAAACCAAAUGAGACUAUUCUUACCGACCUUAGGAAUGAAAUGUACACUUUUAAAACUCAAAAACUAAAUACAUAUAUUACUCUCUUACUUUUUUUCAAAAUAAAUUAAACAUCAUGAUAAUAUUUAAAACAUGAAACGCAGCAAAAUGCUUUAAGGACUUUUUAAACUAUCAUGAAACGCAGCAAAAUGCUUUAAGGACUUUUUAAACCUAUUUUUAAAAAUUGAAAGAUUAAUGUCUCGUUUGCUAACUGUUUUCAAUUUUUUAUUUAUAUUUUUAUGUUUUUUAAUUCGAUUAAACUUUUGUUUAUUAAAAACAAAAGUCAUAUAUGUUUCCUACUUGAUUUUUUUCCUUUUUUUGCUUUGGAAGGAACAAAUGUAACUUUUAAGUUUUUUUUUUCAUUUUCAAUUUUUUUUAGUUUAAAAAACAAGUGAAAUUAGUUAUCAAACGCACUUAUUUUUUGAAAAAUUAAUUUUUAAAACAAAUGAAUUACUAUACAAACACUAAACGUACAUUUUAAAAAUUCAAGAAUUAAUUAUGCCUAUUUAUAAGAUUAAAAAUGUAUAUUUUUAAAACAUACGAACUAAACACAUUUAUAUUGUUCAAUAAAAAAGAAUAGUUUUAAAAUCACAUAUACAUCCAUCUUAAUUAUGGACAUUGUAAAAAAUAAUAAAAUAUUAAAACGUUUUACAAAAUAUAACAAAAUUUACCAUCUCACCGUUAAUUUAUUAUAACUAAAGCUUUUCUUUUGUUUUAAUUUCGAUUUUUGAAACUCGUUAAAGUUACGCGCAUUUGACUGAAAGACCACGUGGCAGCCUUUCAUUGCACCACUUAUGAAUUUAGUCAAGCACAUCGUUUCUAUUUACGAAUAUCUUAUUUUUCAACCCUCUCUCUUUUUUUCUUUUUUUAGUAUCUCUUCUAACUAAAUCUUCCUACCAAAAGCCUUUUCACAUUUUCUUUCUAUUUUAUCAUUUUCUUUUUGUUGGUAUAAAUUUAGUCAUCUAAGUUUUAAAAAUUAAUAUGAUCAUUUAUAUUUUAUUUAUGUUCAUUUUUACUCCAGAUUUAAUUUCAAUAGUUGUAUAGUUUAAUACAACGUUUAAUGUUUCAUUCCCACACCUUAAUUUUUUAACUUGACCUAUUAACUUUUAUUGAUGUAAUAAUUCUAUGAUGUCACAUCAUUUAGAUUAAUAAAUAAAUAAAAUUAUUCUAUCCAACUUUUUUUUUUAUCAACAAUGUGAUUGAACUAUUUUAGAUAGAUUGACUAAAAUUCUUUUCAGAAAAAAGAAAAAGAAAAAGAUAUAUGACUAAAAAUAUAUGAAGUAACUUUUUUUUACAACUAGUAUGUCUUAGUACUAUACUAAGCAAAAUUGAUAAAUUUACUUUGUAAACAUAAUUAAAAUGCAUUUUAUAAAUGUGUCAUAUCCACAUUAACAUUUUUUUAAUGAUGUUAAGAUAAUAAGAUUAAAUAAAUACUUAAUUUAAAAUUUAAAAUGUUUAAUUUAAACUUUUUGUAAUAUUAAUUAGAGACGUAGGUGAGAAUGAUGUCUAUGUUUAAUUAAAAAUAUUUAAAAUCUUUAUGACAUAAUUUCUAUGAUAAAAUUUAAAUAUAUUUAUACUUUCAAAAAUUUAGAAAAGUGUUUUUAGUUAUAAUGUGAAUGAAUGUGUAUAGGACGGGAUAUUCUAUAAAAAUGAUAUGUAAGAUGUGUAUAUGAAUUUAAGUGUAGGAAUCAAAGUAAAAUAAGAAUGAUUAAAAGUACUACGAAGGGUUGUGAGAGUAAAAUAUAAAUUUUUGUAGGUUCCAACGGUAAAAAGGAAAGAGAAUUAUUCUAGAUCGUUCAAUAUCACGUAAAAAAAAUAAAAGGUUGGUUUUCAAGUUUAUAAUUUUAUUUUAUAUAAAUAAUUAUGAUUUAAAUGGAAGUAGACCUUCAUUUGACCAUAUGGUAAAACAUAUACAUGAAACACACAUUUUUAAACACAAAGUUGAUAUUUAGAUGCACAAAAUUUGUCAAUUCAAAGUAUUAAUGUUUGUUUUUAUUAUCAUAUUGUUAGUAUAUAUUCAUUUUUCAUACAAAAAUAAUAAUAAGUAAUAUUUCAAUUACAUUAUCCAAAUUGAAAUUUUUUUUCUAGCUAAGUCAAAAGAAUAUAUAAUUGCAUAGUUUAUUUAUUAUACUUUAGUUCAAAUUUUCCAAUAGUGAAAUUGAAAAGGUACUCAACUCAACCCCAUUUUGGUUACUAUCUAUGUUUGUUUGUUUGUUUUCUUGAGGAGGGUUACUAUCUAUGGUUAAGUACUUCACUUUGCACAAAUCAAUGUGAAAAGUUUCUGUCUUAACCAGUGUGAAAAGAAAUCGUACAUUAUUAGAAAAGAAAGAAAAAAGUAAGCUUUAGUUUAUUUUAUACCUUAAAUAUUUCUAACUCUUCACUUAUUAAUAUCUUAUUCAAGUGUUAGUUAUUUAGAAGUUUUAAUUAUCAAGUAAAUGUUGAACAUGCCGUAGUUCAAACUUCAAACUAUUUCCUACUUUUUUGCUAGUUAAAAUAUGUUUUUUUCUUAUAUACUUUUACUCUUAAUAAAUUUUAAAUUAUUUGCUUCUACAUUACAUAUUCUUUUCAAAUUUAUUAUUAUAAUUUAUUAGUCUUUCCAAUAAUUUUUCAUUAAAUAACUUUGAAUGACUAAAUUUAAGAUUUACUAAAAGUUUAUGUAGAUCCAAAUUUAAUAGUCUAAAAUUGAACAAUUUUACAAAUUAUAUUGACCAAAGUUACAUUUAAAUAAUUUUUGAAAAUUAUAAAAAUCACCCAUAAAGUAUAGUAUGUAAUUGCAAUUAAAGUAUUCUUGAAAUAGUUUCCUUUUUUAAUUAUUGAUUUAAAAGAAUGAGAAAGAAAACAGUAUAGAUAGGCAAAAGUAAUGUCACAUCAGUAGGAAUAAGAAAAAGGAAAAUAAUAACUAACUGGCCAUGAUUAUAGCUAUACAAUAAAAACCUAUUGAUACACAAUUCAAAAUACAAUAAAAACCUAUUGAUACACAAUUCAAAAUAAUACACUGUUAAUGUCACCCCUCAAACGAAUGCAGAUGUAGGCAUGAGUUUGGAUCUUAAAAGAAGAAGAUGAUCUGCAGUAAGAGACUUGGUUAAACAAAUCAACAAGCUAGUUUACGGUGGAGAUGAACUUUAUCAAAGGUCUAUGCGAACCACACCUUUUCCUAUGGAGUAAAAAUCAAUCUCUAUGUGUUUCGUACGACUAUGAAAUUAAAUGCGCAACAUUAUGAGCAUGCUGCAUAGAAAACAUAUUAUCACACCACAAUAACGAGGUUUAGUACCAAAAUUACAAAGAUUUUUCGAACGUUGUCGAAACCAAAAUAGCUCAGUAGAAGUAGUUGCAAGACCACAAUAUUCAACUUCACUCGAGCUUUGAGAUACAACUGCAUUUUGCAGGGAGAUAAAUUCAUAGACUAAACAAAACAAAAUUUUAAAUGGAGUUAUUGAUGUUGAGUUUUAUGUCAUUAAACUCGUAGAUAGUAAAUAUAAUCUGUUGACCGUCAUUAAUAAAUGUUAUUUUUGUAGUUUUCAAUAAAAGGUUAUUGAUUAUUAGUUUUGUCUUAAUAACCUAAAUCUAAUAUACUAACAUUCUAAAUUGUUUGAUAAGUUUUGAACUAUAUGUAGAGACAUAUAUAAAUCAAUGUUCGAGAUACAGCUUAAAAGGGUCUAUAAUAUUGGAAAAAGCCUUAUUAUCUUAUUCUGAUAUCACUAUGGAUACGACUCGCUUUGUAUUUGUUACAAAUGUCAUGAUCCAAUGCGUUCGUGUAGGUGACAUGCAAGCAAGGGCAUCCUAGCAUAAGACCAGAUAACGAAAUAGUAACUACUAGAUAUAACUCCGUUAACUAGUUAGGUUUUAUAUUUCACUAGGUUGACCUAGAUAACUUAGUCUUAAUCUUGAGUAUACUAUGAACUUUUGUUCGUAGUGUACUAGGUUACUAGUUAAUGAGUUUGCAUAGGUGAUGACAGCUCAUCAACGUUGCCUUAACAAGCCUCCUAUUUCAUGGACAAUACCAGAUGGAUACCUGAGGACGUAGGGUGUAAGAAAACUCGCUUAUGUUCAUUAUAGGGUUAGUAGAUAAGUUGUUUCCCUUAUGAACUAAAUCCAAAUCUUCAACAAAGGAACCCACCCUCUCUUUGGUUGAAGAGGGAUUUGGUUUAUAGGUUUUAUCUUAAACCAAUUGUUCAAUAGUAGACUAGUGGGACUUAAGGAACAAGAUGUAAUUUCAAGGGUAAAAUGCUAGUUUUGACCCAAUCGAGAUUACAAACAACCUGUAAAUGAUUAACUUACUAAUCACUGUUAUAUCAGAUAAACACAAAUAUAUUUAUAUUAAGGGGAGUGCAACUGCGGGACUUUAGUAGAAUGUCUCGUUAGUAAAUGAAUGUUGAUUCGCUAGGUCUAAAAGAGUUUAGCCAGUUAAUUUUCUAUUGUUGGAGCCCAUGAUCUAUAGGUUCAUUAGGUUCCCAUAUUAGCUGAUCAUAUGGAAUUAACUUAAAACAAUAUGUUGGAUUAGUUCGAAAAGUUCAUAUUAGAUGAGGAGAUAAACUAACAAGUAUAUAUGAUAUAGUGGUCGAUUUUCAAUAUAGAGAUAGAGCUUUAUAUUUAAAUAUGAUUUAAAUAUAAAAAAAUAUAAAAAUGUAUAAAUGCGGAUUCAUACUCAAAAUCUCAUAAAUUAUGAAGAUUAUGGAAAUAGUCAAAGUUGUAAAAAGUCAAAGGAAGGUGUAUAAACAGUUGUACGAUAAAAACCUAUUUAUACACAAUUAAUACAAAGUAUUCAAUUCAAAAUAAUAGUGUUAAUAGCAAUUACAUCAUCAAACUUUCAAUUAUUCGUAACAAUUGCGCCUUCAAAUUACUACAAGUGUUAAAUUCUAUCCUUAAACUUAACAUAGUUAUUCGAGUAAUUCAACCUCCAUAAUAAAGAUUGAACCCUUGGACUUAUACAACUGUUAUUUCAUUACUUGAAUUUGUUUAGUUAGUUUGACCUUUAGUUAGAUCAAGAGUCUAUUGUUUAGUAGUUUAACAUGAUAGAUAUCUUAGAUUUGAAUAUCGUUUCCUUUGCUAAAUUUUUUUAUUAUCAGUAGAUGAAACUUAAGUUUGACCUUUUUAUUUUAGAGAGCUAGUUCAACUCUUUGACAAGAACAAUCCAAAAUAAUGGCUAAGAUUGAGAUGGAGGAUUGCAUGACAUAUCUCUCUAGCUUAUUCUUCUUAAACUGUUUUCAAUUGUUUUUAUGUUCAUGAGUCCUUACAACCUAAGAAUUUUAUGGUGUCUUGGUACUAGUCUUAUUUUGGUUGGAGAUAAUAACUUGUUGUUAAGUACACAAACUUGUCAUCGUAUAAAUAACUUACGUAUUUCUUGAAUCCAUAGUGUUUCUUGUGAUAUCACAAUUAGUUAAGCUAAGUCUCAAGACUAUUUAUACUUUGAGUUUUCUUUUAGUUAUACUAUUCGGGAGGAUGUGCUCUUGUUAGGAGGGUGUUCUCGUACAAUCUUUCAUUUAAAUGUACCACAUAGCUCAAUUAAAUUUUCCAUAUAUUAAGGUAGAGUGGUUCAUUGUAACAUAAACUCUGAAGAGUAAUGCAUUGUUAUUUUAUAUCAUAUAACUAGGAGAGAACAUGACUUUCGUGCUCAUGAGGUUAUCAUAUCAUAUUGUGAAAGUUUCAAUCUCACUCUCCCUCCCUUAUUAAUUCAAUAACGCUAAUUAUCUAGAAAUUCUAUCUCAUACUAUUUAAAAGUAAAACAAAAACAAUAAUUAAAGUCAAUCUAGGGUGGUUAUUGGUUAUCUACAUAGCACUUAAUAUCUUACAAGUUCUAUGAGAUAUUCAAAGGGUCUAGAUCAGACAUAGAAUUACAUUUUUAUUUUAAAUAAAAGUAUAAAAGUGAAUUGAAGUAUAAUUAGAAUUGAAAAUGUGAGAAGGGUUAAAAAAUGAAGCAAUCAAAAUGUAGGGAUAAAAAUGGGCAGUUAACCUUAAAUUGAAAAUUGAAUGAAGGCAUGGACAAGAAAGUUAAUUAGAUCCAAGUUUUAAGGAAUAUAGAAAAAAUAAAGAUGUUGAAGUGGAAACGGUAAUUGGUCAAUGGCAGUUAUAUUGAUGAAUGAUUAUGUUAUUACUCCUUUUUGGAGACACUAAUCUAAAGCUCCCACUAUCUUUUUUCUUCCAACAAACAACACACAUCCCCUCAUCAUCCGAUUUUACCUAUUUUUCUAUGCUUAAUAAAAUAUUACCAUACAACUUACUCCAUUACCUUUUUAACUUUAUGUAUAAACUUCCAAACAAAAUAUUUAAUACAUCUCUAAUUUUUAUUUUUCUUUCUUCAUUCAACCAAUUAUCUAUAUUAUACAUAAACUUUCAACUCAAUUUGUCAUUUAACAAUUAUUUUCGUGUGACACCCAUAUAUAGCUUGUUUGGAAGGAAGAAAGAAGAUUACAUGCAAAAAAAAAAAAAGAAAACUUAUCUUUCAUUGUGGUAAACACACUCUUAUGCUUAGGAUUUUGAAUUAAAAUGUGGAAGCUAAGGAGUGAUAUUGUAAACACCUAGAGCUGUGAUUCAGACUAGGAUUUGUAAUCCUAAUUCAACACCUGAUUGCUAGCUUCCUAUGUGCCUUUGCAUCCCUUUUGAUCUGGUUAUAUCAUCUUUGUUUGUCUUGACCUACUUCUAAGAUGGAAGACUAUUACUCACAAACUAACACAAUCAUGAUCUUCAGCAUGCUUUGUCCUUACUCAUAUUUGUCCUAGAAAAAGGCUUAGAAAGUCAUUUGACGUAGCAUCGUUCCAAGCUGAACAAGUUUAACUUUGGAUCUUAUGGUUAAGUCACGAAAAAAGAAUGUGCACGUCUAACUUUCAUUUUUUCAAGUUUUUCUUAACCAUACUUUCAUAUUCUCAAAGAAUAUAAUGAAUUGAUAUCACGUACAAAUGAGACAAGUGAGAGGGUUAGAGAAUAAUACGUGCACAAUAUAAAACUUUCAAAAUAGAAAUAAGAAAAGAAAACAGGAAAGUGUGACCUAUUGUAGCUAACUAGAAUCUUAAAUUAGAGUUGUAUAUACCAACACUUUAAACUCUUAUGAGGAGUUGAAUAUAUGAUAGCAAACAUGCCAUAUUUCCAUCUUUAACAGAGUUAAAACUGUCUUCUCUCAACCAAUUUCAUCAUGUCUUGAUCUCUUUGUUUCCACUAUAUAUAUAUUGAUGUUACCUUAGCUUGUAACUAGUUUUAAAAAGUUGCGAAUCAUGAACAACAACCAAUAUUAUUCUGCAAAAUAAAUAUAAUAAUAACUAAACUAAAUUAUAAAAUUUUAACAUAAUUUAAUUCAAAUACAUCUUUUAUCGUCAACCUCCCUCCAUGUUAGACAUUUAAAUUUUCUCACUUCACAGUAAAAAAGAAAUUAUUAUUAUUAAGUUUUAGUGUAAUAAUGUUAGGCGUUAAGAGAUUUUAUCAACUAAUUACAUGCAUUUUUGCAUUUAAUUAGUUUAUAAAUAGGUAUCAUUUUAAAUUGAAAAAGGAUUUUUGCCAUUUUUUGUAUUUUUUACAUUAAAAAAUUACGGUACCAAAUUAUUUUCUCUCUCUCAAUUUUCAAGUCUCCAACCCUAAAUUUCCACUUUCAAUUUCCAUCUCUCGUACUUAUUUUCUUCACUUAUCGGGUUCCACAACCCAGUUCUAAGUCCGGAGAAUAGCGGAUAAACUCUAGUAGUCGUUUCAAGUUCGUGUUCAUGAGAAGAUUACGUGAAUUGGAAAGCUUCAAAGGUAUGUUCUUUCUUUAACCCUAAUUUCAUUUAAUUAGGGUAGUUUGAAGCAUGUUAAUCUCUAAAUUGUUUAGUUACAUUUAGAGUAAAAUUUAAUUCAUUAUUUUCGCUAUGCAUGUCUCGUUUUCCUUCAUGUGGUUCAAUUUCUAUAUCGUAUAUUAAUAAUUUCAACCCUUAUACUUUCUACAAUUCAUAUAUUGAUCAUGGAACACCUUGAGUGUAGGAGGGACAUAAAUGGAAUGAAAUCACAUCUAAACAAGAGAAAACAUGAGAAUAUGAAAGUAUGGUUUAAUAAAGGUAAAAAAUUGAAAGCUACUAUCUAAUAUAAACAAAAUGUUCAUUUCUUUUCCGUGACUCAAUUAUAGAAACACAAAAAAUGAGUGUACUUAGCUUAGAGUGAUCAUAUGUUAACGUGGCCUCUCAUAAUUUUCAUAAGAAAACCAAAAUAUGUUGGAUAGUUUUCGCUCUUUCAAUAGUUUAAGACAAGUAAAUAGCAUUAUCAAUUUUGCAAGAGAUGCAAAUAAUGUGGUUGGGUAGUACACCUUUCAUCUAAGCCAACUAAUGCAUUUUUAAGCUUAAUAUUUAAGCUUGGGUUCCAACCUUUUUCUAAAACAAAAGCUAUUCAACAGAACCUAUGUUCAAUACCUAAUAAGGUUAGUUGUUACCAAGAAAAACGAACUUCAACGUUAGUGAUUCCAACCCCACUAAAAUGUUGUUAAAGAUAAAAAUAAAUAAAACUACUUUUACACCAAUGUUUUCACAUAUACAAAAACUUAUCAUCCCUUUGUUGUAGCAUUUGGUACCUGUGAGCUGUUUUUCUGUUAGGACAAACUUGGCCACUUUUGGAAGAGAUGUAAUAUUCAAAUCAUCCAGAAUAGUUCAUAACUAUGCAUCUUUCUUCAAAUUGCUUUCAACAACUUUUUCACCGUUAUAUUCUCUCAUAAAGUAUUUCUCCCUUUAGUUCAAUUUAUUUCCACAAACUUUAGUUCAAUGGACUUUUUUGGACGAGAUGGUGUAUUCGUGAAAAUGUUAAUUUGUUCUACUCUGAAAAGAUAAUUACUCAUGAAACUCAUGCACAAGAGUAAGUAAUUGAAAUUAUCUUAAUUAGACAACACGAGUUUGUUGGACUAAAAUUCUAUUCAAUAUACUAUAUUCUAGCUUUUUUUUCUUUUCUUUUUUAUUGAUAAUAUUUUAGUCUUACAACAUUCUUUUCCCAAAAAUAUAAAAGAAUACAAGAUGAAUUUUAUAGAAAAGGAAAUUUGAAUAUAGUCUUAGAAACAUUUUCCCCCAAAGAACAAAAUGUCAACAUAUCACUAAAAAUUGAUAACCUUAUUGAUAAUAUAUACAUAAAUAGAAAUCAACAGUAAAAUAUGUUCACACUAUCUUAUAAUUAUAUAUACACCCACAUGAAAACACAUCAAAUCAUGUCAAAUCCUCCUCUCUCCCUCCAAAAUGAUUUAAAAAUUGCUUUCCACACAAUCUUGCAUUAAACUAAAUAAUUUCUAAGUAAGCACUUUUUGUGCUAUUACUUGAAAGAGUCAAUAUACAUAAAGAAAAGGGGCAAUGGGUUAGUUGAAGGAAAAAAAGAAAAGGAAAAAAAACAAAGGAGCCAAUGAAAAAGAAUUAUGUGAUAGAAUAUGCCACUAAGGAAACAGUAAUAAUAGCAAAAUGGCAGGUGAGUUAGGUAAAAGAGAAAUGGAAAACUAAUCAAACUUAUUGGCAGUUGAUGAAGACAAAGUUUAAGUAGUUAGGUGUGUCAAGUCAAAGAUGUUGGAAUACAACAAUUAGUCUCUUACCUUAAUCAUGAGGUGUGUUUGGCCAUGAAAUAACAGUAGGACCAACUUCAUUACGUAUUUGCUUUUGUAGAUGUGAUGAUCAAGAAUGUAGUUGAUGAUUCUUUUCCUGUGAAAUGAUAUUGAUAAAUCAAGAGGCUAAUAGUACAUUUCAUCGAUAUUGUAUGCUCUUUUCUGUUAAGUCUUGAGAAAAUAUUGAAAGUGUAUACGUAGUCAUACCACCUUAAAAAAGUUCAAAAGAAAAAUAAGUUUCGAGCACGGUAAAAUGUUGUACGUAGAAAUGAGUAAGGUUUUUUUAUUUGUGUGGAGGAGGGAAAGUAAAAGGUCAAAUUAAAAGAAGAAAGAAAAAGUCUUGAAAUUUAGCAAUGAUUUGUGACAUUUCUUGCUAUCUCGUGUCGGCAAGAAAAUUUGAUUUCUUUUUUUUUUCUUUUUGUUAUUGCCAUAAUGACUAUCCCACUUGGUUUUUUAGGUUAUGAAAUUGCAAAAUAAAUAAAUAAAAGAAGGAUUAGUGUGAAUAUAUGGAAUUUACAAUUGACUAUGUGUUUUGUGUAGUAGUGGUUUCUUAGAACUUCUUCCCCUCACUUAAUUUGUCCCAAUAUUCAUCCAAUUUAACACACAUAAACACACAUGCCUUUAAUUCUUCUUUAAGAGACUUACAAUUUAUAACUAAAAACUUCUUUUUUUCUUUUACUUCGAAAAUUAUGAUUCAGCCAUCAGCUUACUGUAAUGGGUUUUUUUUAUGAUUCUUUUUAGUUAAACUAUAAUUUCUUUUUCCCUUUAGUUUUAACAUUAUAUUGGGUUUAAAAUAAGAGAUGUAUACCAAUUUUAGAAAUAAUAAUUAAAUAUAUAAUAAUAUUUUUUUAAAAAAAAUGUAAAUAUAGCAUAGACUUCUAUAACUGAUAAACUCUUAUAAUUUACCGGUGAUUGACUAAUAUUUGUAACAUAGUUUAUCAAUAAAUAAUUUUAUUAUUGAUAAACUUUGAAAGAUUUUGUUAUAUCAGUAAAUUUUUUAAAAUGUUGUUAUAUACUUAUUUUGAAUCUAUUUGCUAUAUUUGUAACUAUUUGUUGUAGAAAUAUACUAUCCAUUUUAUGUUGGGCCAAUCAUUGGGCUUGGGUUGAAAAUCUUAUUUUAGAAAAUGUUAAUUAUAAUGGUUAGCAAUUUUAAGCAUAAUAAUUAAGUGUAUAGCAAAAUAUAAUUUCAAAUGUAGCAAAAUUUAUCGGCGAUAGACUUUUAUAGUGAUAGACUCUUGUGGUCUAUCAGUGAUAGACUGAUAAUUGCAUUAUAGUUUAUCAUUGAUAGACUGAAAUCAUCAAUAGAUUUUGUUAUUUUUACAAUGUGUUUUUAAAAUUUUGUCGUAGUUGUUAAUACUUUAAAUCUAAUUGUCAUAUUUACGACAGUCACUUUAAAAAAUUGUGAUAUAUUUUUACAAUCAAAUUCUGCGUUCAAAUGAAGUUAUUUUGAAAACCGUUAGAGAAAAACAAGUUACAUGGAAAUUAAUUUGUAAACAUAUAGUAAUCUGUUUUGGUUUAUUUAAUUUAUUCUUUACAAGAAAUUGAAAUGCACGUAUUUUAUUAAAUUUUUUUUUGUUCAUUCUUUAGAAAGGAUAGUAUUUUCAGUGUAUUGAAUCCAUUGAUUAGCAUUGAGCUCUUAUUUAUAAUCUACACAAAAUAACUAUGCUUUCAUUUAUCGUUUCAUAAUGAAUCCACCCUUAUUUUGAGUAGCAAGUAAGUUCGUUACUACAAAUUUGGGAUACAAUGACACAUGAAAUCAAGAAUAAAUCUUUAUAUCAUAUCAAAGUGAUAUUUAAACGUUCUUGAUAUUCUUGAAUAUGAGGGAGAUGAAGUAGCUCAAAAGAAUCUCGUCGAAAAAUUGUAAAAAUAAAAUAGGAGAUUUAAACAAAAGAAUAAAUCUUUUAAAAAUAGAAAAAUAAAAUCUGGAAGAGGAGUUGAAGAAACCUAGAAGAGAAGAUGAAUAUAUCAUACACAAGAAGAAGAAAGAGAAGUGACGAAUCAUCUAUAAUAUCAAGGGCAAAUCUUGAAUUUAUGGAAAUAUUUUACUAGCUUCAUGGGCUUUUUAUUUUUGUUAUACAUACCGUAAAUACUUUUGUGUUUUGUUACAUUUUUUAAAAUUAACCUUAAAACAAUUAUCAAAUUUUUCAUUAAAAACCCCUUAAUCCCAUUUCUACGUCGAUAGAAACCCCUAGGGGCGUUUGGCGUGCCUGUUUGGAAUCAAAGGUGAAAAGAAAGAAGUUAAAUACCUUUUAGUUAUAUCUUAAGUACUUAGCCAAAUGUCUAACAAGAGGACAGAAAAUGGAUAAACUUAGUUCAUUUUGUUAACCCAGUUCGGCAAAUAUUGCCUAUAUCUGGAGAGCUUCUUUGCUCUGAUAUGGAAUAUUAUUGAGUUUUUCAAUGUAUGACUUGUUGGAUAGAUUAAAAUGAGUAGUCAUAUCAAAACUAAACAUAAACUUCAAGUUCUCGUGAAUUGUUUCAAACAUCCUUUGAAGAGUGGUGCACACUCCCCAUGAACACUAGAGCUGUACGUACAACUCCCAUGAUCUUCUCGUUAACAAGUUAUCCACAUUCAUACCAGCUCCCUUAGUUUUUAGAAUUGAUUCCUCAAUUCAGCAAUCUUCUGGCUAACAUAUUUCAUAUCAAAAUAAUCAUCCUGUUCUAUUUUUUGUAGGUUGUUUAACAUCAACCUUAUCUUGCAUGAUGAAUAUAUUAGGUAUAGAUAUACAUGAAGUCCUUCACCUCUUUCGCUGCACUCUACUCAGCAAGUUAAUUAUUCACCGUUCUUCGUCGUUCCUUUUUUUUUCUCCACGCACACCGAACAAAAACCCGAGAGCGUACUUAAUAUAUUUAUUUCUGUUUUUUUAGAAAAUAAAAUCUCUUUUCCAUAAUCUAAGGAACCAGCCUUAUUAAGAUUCCAGCUGUUAAAAAGAUUUUAUUUAUUUGAAAAGAUGGUAAUCUAUUUGUCAAAAUAUCUUAACAAAAUAUGUCUAGGAAUUGAAUGUUUGUAAGCUUAUUUGAUGGGGUUAUGACGUGUAGUAAUUACAGGUGUCUAUGUUUGGGAUAUAGGAUUUGGAAAUCUAAAUUUUCGAGGCAUGUGUAUGGCGUGCUAGUUUUGAAUUUCUAAGCUUUCCUAAUUUGUUUAGUUUUUUUUAAUGAAUUGUACAUCCUAAAUUUAUCAUGUAUCAAAUUUUUAAUUGAUUUUUUUUUUUCAUAUUUUGUACAAGUAAUUCAACUUCUUGACUUUAUUGAUUUUUGUGACAAUAAUGUAAAUGGUUGCAUUAGCAUGAGUUUUUUUUUUUCAAUUUCUUGACAAUAAUUUUAAAAUUCAAUAACAAUAAUUUUGAUUAUGAUUGCAUUAACAUAAAUGAUCUAAUUAGGAAUAUUACAAACUAUUCACAAAUUAUAAUAAGUCAUGUAAUCAAACGAGGUUUAUGAAAGUUUUGGUUAAGCAAAGCAACAUAAAAAAUAGUCAAAUAGGUUUCAAAAUAAUUAGCAUAACCAAAAGGGUAAUGCAAAAGCCAAAGUCCAAUAGAGUUACAUUUAACUAUAGUUAUGGUUGUCUUCCUAUGAUACACAUACAAUGUAUUUUAAACCACUUUUAUCAAAAGAGUUUAAAUUAAAAUAAUUUUUAAAAAAAUAUUUCUCUUAAAUCAAUCCAAAUAAGUCCUUAGUGUUAUAGGUAAAUUGACCAACGAAAAAGAUGAAUAAUGUUAUUAAAUUAAAAAUAAACCAUGAUACAUGUGAUGUAUAUUUAUAAUUUCUAUUAUAUUAUCAAUAUAUUAAUAUUUAAUUUAUACUUGAGAUCAUAAUAGAUAGGUCAUCAAUUUUCACCUAGGAAAAAUAUAACACGAUAAAAAAAAUCGCCUAAAAUGAAGGAAAGAUUAAUUUUAAACAAAAAAGAUAAAAGAGAUGGUUAAAAAAUAUAAUCUAAUAAUUAUUAUUAUUAAAAAAAACUUCAAAAGAGAAAAAAAUAGAAGAAUGAAAAAAAUGUAUAUUUUUAAAAAUAUUAUUGUGAUAAAAUCAAAGGUUGUAAUUGGAAUGACUAUGAACAAAAAAGUUUUUAAAAAAUUCAUUUUUAUUAAUUUUUCAAGGUUUGCAGCCGUUGUCACAGUUGGUGUGGUCGAAAGUUCACUAACGACCGGAGUUGUAAAAAAUGACAACAAAUGGGCAACUGACAAUGGUCAGCGGGGUGGUGUCUGGAGUUGGCCAAUAAAUUUUAUAGAUUGAAUUAAAAAAAAAAAAGGUAUUUCAUUGGCUUCAAUAAUGUUUACUAUUCAAAUUAAUGGGAAAGAGUUGUGAAGACGGUUCCAUGGAUGGUGUAGGAAGCCUUAGUGAAGACGAUCAUUGAUCAAUGAUGAAGAUCGUCAACAGUCGCCAAUGUUUAAGACGAUUGGUUGUUCGCCGACUAUCAUGACAAUCGGUGGCCUAGAGUCAUGGCUAUUGGUCAUUAAACAUCACUACGAUUGUUUAUUAAUAAACACAACAUCGAUAAUUAACUAUAACAUUUGGUUGUCUUCGAUCAAGAUGUUCACCUAACAACAGUAGCGUCCAAAGUUGUAGGUCACCAGAGUCAAGAUAAUUGGUCAUCGACGAUCGAUAAUUGUCUAUUAAGACGAUUCAAAGGCGACGAUUAAGAUGAUCUUGAGCUAACGAUUGAGAUGAUAGGUCGUCAUGACCAUUUGAUCGAUCGUGAUCAACCAUCAUGGUUGAUCAUGAAGUUGGCUAAAGUUUGUUGCCAACUGUCAUCAAUUAUAAUUGAUAAGAGGUUGAAAUGAAAAGUUUCUAAAACAUAUGACAUUCAAUCAAAAGAAAAACAUAUUCCAAAUACAUGAGUUUAGUUUCUUAAUCUCAAGAAUUUUAUUCCAUGUGUCCAAACAUGGGUUCUCCCAAUUUAAUACCUAUGGGGUCAAUUAUCCCUUUAAUCCCUUCGUCCGAAUCCUUCGACACCUAACAGCGUCCGCCUAAAAAUCAACAAGUCCAAUUAGAAAAUGUGCAAACUUUUCUUAUUGAACUAGUUUUUUCUUCUUAUUAUUAGACUUUUUGUAUGUUGUUUUAGACUUUUAUUUGAAAUAUUCAUAUUUCAGUUUUUAAUUCAAUUAUUUUAUUUUCAUAUAUUUUAUAAAUUUUCAUAUAUGGUUACUCAAUUUAUUAUAUUUCAAAUAUUAGUACAUUUCUAAAAAAUUUGAAAAUUUUGAAUCGUUCUUGUAAUAUUAUAUAUCAUUUUAGGUCACUGUAGUUAAAACCCUUAAAAAGGAAAAGAUUUUCUCAGAAUAUUUUCAAACAUUUAUAGAAGUCUAUCUAUUGAGUGUGUAUCAUUGAUAUACUCUAAAAUUUCGUCACAUUUAUAGAUAUCUUUUUUCCAAUUUUUCUAUUUUAAAUUUAUUUUUUCCUUUCAUAAUUAUUAAUUAAUAGUUAAAAUUUUAACUUUACCAUCUUUCUAAUUUACAAAUAAUUUUGCUAUUUUUAGAAAUGUAACAUUUAAAAUUUGCCAUUCCAUGGUAAGGUUAUGGGUUUCAAAACUCAAGGUUAUAGGCAAAAUCACUCAUCUCUCUCUAUCUCUCAUCUUUAUGCUUCUGUGGUAUUGCUGUUACCCUCUUUUCAAAACAUCAACAUUAAGAAUUUGAAUGAAAAUUUCUAAUUAAUUACUUAAGAAAAGAUUGAUGGGUCAAUCAUGUUAAGAGAAUUUUGAGUACAAAAGAAAGGGGAAGUGAAAAGAAUAGAUUGCCCUUGUAUCCAACACAAACCAACCAUUACAUAUACUCAUCUCAAGUUUCCAAAUUAAAUACACAAAUAUUUCACAAACUCCAUGCCAUUCCCCUCCAUAUCCUCCAAAACUCAAUUCCACUUCCACUUUCCCUAUCUCUGUCAAUACCACAACAAAACAAUAUGAAACAAAUGAGAAGAUUGGCCGUUGGUAAAACAUACAUAAAGAGAGAAUUCAUAAAAAAGAAAAAAAAAAGACAACCAAUAAUAAAUAAAGACCAUCUUUUUGUUCUUCGUGUUAAAUCACCAUUAAAGCUAAAAACAUAAUCACAUCCAUUACAUUAUAAGAAGUUGAAGUACAUCGAUUACAUUGUAAGACCUUCACUGCACUUCUAACUAGAAAAUCACCGAUACCAACAAACAAAUAUCAAUAUCAGUAUCAAUUAAGAAGUAAGUGAUGUUAUGAUGAAUAAGACAUAGAAUUAUGUGCUCUAACACUUUAUGAACCACACUUGGAAUACCCAAUAAUCAAAGGAGCAGAUUGGCCAUGGAAACACCACUCCUAAAGAAACAUAGCUAAAUCCAUUUUUAUGGUAUAUUCACUUAUGAGCUUGAAAAUUAGCAUAAAGCAAUUCAGAGACAUAACAACCAAUUCAAAUACUCCAUUGAAUCACUCAACUUAACUGCAACAAAAAGAAGAGCAGUACCUGAAGUAGAAGAAUUAGACAUCUUUGGCAAUGAGUUCACCAUUGACAAGCUCUCUGUAAGCAGCAACAGGCCAGCUGAAGCCUCUAAACACCAAACUAGUGGCCAAAGGAACAUCAAUGAUAAUCUCCUUUUGGGUAGGUUUCUUUUCAUCUCUAAUGGCGAUUAAGUAGCUCCUUCCAACCCAUCCAAUCCACCCAGCAAUGUAAAGGAACAAGAAUCCAGGAGUAAUGAACUCACCCCAAUGCCUCUGGUCACCACUCACAAUCAAAUGAGGCAAGCCAUCAGCACCACAAAGAAGCCCUUGUUUCCCAUAGAAGGCAAAUCGCCUCUUUGUCUUUUCGAUCGUGGCUUUGAUGGCAAGCGCCGGGGCGCUAUCCGGGGCGUAGUUCUUCAAAGAAGACUCAAGUUUCUUGAUCUGCUGCUUCUCCCUCUUGGCGAAUUGCUUGGAUUCCUUGCAGGGGGUGAGACCGGAGAUGUCGGCGACGGCGGGGAGAGGAGCGGAGAGGAGGAUGGAGGAGAGAGCCAAGGCAGCGGAGAAGGCUUGAAGAGAGGAAGAGGUGUUUUGGUUUUGAUUUUGGGAGGCGGAGCAGAGAAUAGAUGAGGAGGGUUUUGGCUUCAAGGCGAGUGGGGAGCUAAAUUUGGGCUUCAAGAGGGGUUUUGAGAGGUUAGUGGGGAUUGUGAGAGACAUUGUUGAAAUGGGUUCGAAGGAAUUGGGAAUUGCAGGAAGAAGAAGAUGGAGAUUUGGAGAAAGAGUGUGGAGGGAACGGUUUUAGAUUC
rnacentral:lncRNA from 1 species